rnacentral:lncRNA from 1 species
UGAUGAAUGACGCGCGAUAGCGAAAAAAAUUACAAAAAGUGAAAAAAAAUAAAGAAUAAAAAAAUAAAAAAUAUAAUUUUAUUUUUCGAGAGAAAUAUUAUGUAAGGCCAAAAAGUAGAGGAGGAGAAAGAAGAAGACAAAUUUGUAUUAUUUGAGACGAAAGUUGCACUGUCUGUAACGAAAGUUAUACAUUUUAAAACUAUUUGAACCUAAGUUUACCAGAUUAGAAGUUAUUGUUUGAGAUUUAACUCAAAUAGUUUUACAUAAUGCAACUUUCGUCCCAAAAUUGCAACUUUUAUGUCAAAUAGUACAAUUUCGUUUUCUUCUUUAUUUCUUGGCAUUUUCUAUAGCAAUCACUACAUAUAAUGAUCUUACUAGAAAAUUUUUUUUUUUUUUAUUUUUUCUUCCAUGCUCUUGUAUUUUUUCUGCUAUCACGCCUCCUCCCUCACCCUUUGUUGCAGUCGCCGCCCUCUCUCCAACACGCGGUCUCUACUGGUCGUCCUCAAAUCCUGCGGCACUCUUGUUGUUGUCGCCGUCUACAGCCACGCUCUCCGUCGUAACCUCACCUUUGCGGUUUUUGCCAUAUCCAAGCCGACAUCGACGGAGACGUGGGUGAGGUAAGAAUGAGGAGUGUAGCGCCGACGUAGGGGUAGUGGAAGAGGAGGAAAAAGAAGAGAAAGCAGGAUGAGAAAGAGAGAAAGAAACGACGAGAAAGAAGCGGACAAAAACAAAAGAGAGAGAAAAAAAAGAGGAGGGAGAAAAAAUAAAAAAGAGUAUUUUGCUUAGUUUAUUAAAAAUUUAGAUCGAAUCUGUAAAAUUUAAAAUAACGACAUGUUUUUAAAGAAACUCAAAAAUGAUGAAUUUUUUAUACAAAUUGGCCUUAAAAAAAGGAAAAAAAAUAGAAAAGAAGAAGAAGAGAAAAACUGCUGUUGUUAACGGAGAUGCCACAGAUGCCCGUCCACAAGAACUGGGAUUCCCUCUUUGUUAACUGGGAUUCCCUCUUUGUUUGCAUUCCCAGUUCAAGCUACAACAGCAUAUGUUUACCAACCGCGGAUGAGACGUCCAUCUCUGCUAUCAUCAGCCCACGUGCUUGUCGCUUUUGCACUGUCACACAAUAUGAGCCUCCUUCUAGGGAAGUAGCAUACAUCUCCCAUUAUUAUAUUCUGAUAAAAAUAUACAAAAUUUAUUUUGAAUCGGCUAUCACAUCUUUCAAAAAUUUGAUUUGACUAUCCAACCUUCCGAUUUAUUUGAUUUAGAUCACUCAACGAUAUUUUGAUUUCAAAAUUUGAAUGCGCCGUUUGUUCUUUACAGAUUUAGUUAGUAUACUCUAUACAACUUUCGUAAUUAUAAAUUUAUUAAUAAGUUGAAAGGUUAGAUAGUAAAAUCAAAAUUUUAAAAGAUUAGAUAGCCGAUUCAAAAUGGUCUAUAAUUUACGUGAAUAAUGUGCAUUUUUUUCAUUAUAUUUAGGGUAUGUUUGGUUCAUGAUUGGAAUAGGAAUGGAAAAUAGAAUCGGAUUACUUUGGAAUGGAAAAUGGAAUGACGAAUCAUCCAAAAAUAUUUGGUUCAUUAUUGGAAUGGAAAUCGGAAUAAAAAUUUAAAAUUUUUGAGAGAGGGUUUUGAUUAAGAAAGAGGAAAGUGAUGAAGGGAGAGGAGAUAGAUGUUGAUGAAAGAUAAUUUUAAAUAGUUUACUUUGGAAUGAGCCAAUCCGGAAUUCAAAUCCGGAUUGGAUCAUAAAUGGAUUUGGUCAUUCUCAUUUCGGAGUGGAAUGGGAAUCGGAAUUCGAUUACUAUAAAACAAAAGACAAUUAUCGGAAUCAAUGAAUUCUAUUUCAAUUCCAUAGUCUAAAAUAGAUGAACCAAACAUAUAUGCCCUUAGGGUAAAUUAUACUUUCGGUCCUCAAACUAUGAAACAUGUGGUAUUUUGGUUCCCAAGCUUUUGGCUUGAACCUUUUAGAUUCUCACAAUUAAGAUUUACGGUGCAUACAUUUUAACUGUACACACACACAGACACACACACACACACACACACGUCCGUGAGCCUAUUCUUGUGUAUAUAUGUGUGUGUGUGUCUCUCUCUCUCUCUCUCUCUCUCACACACACACNUAUUUGAGACGAAAGUUGCACUGUCUGUAACGAAAGUUACAUAUUUUAAAACUAUUUGAACCUAAGUUUACCAGAUUAGAAGUUAUUGUUUGAGAUUUAACUCAAAUAGUUUUACAUAAUGCAACUUUCGUCCCAAAAUUGCAACUUUUAUGUCAAAUAGUGUAAUUUCGUUUUCUUGUUUUUCUUUCUUCUUUAUUUCUUGGUAUUUUCUAUCGCGGUCACAACAUAUGAUAGUCUUAUUAGAAAAUUUUUUUAAUUUUUUCUUCCAUCCUCUGUAUUUUUUUUGCUAUCACGCCCCCUCCACCCUCCGUUGCAGCUGCCGCCCCCUCUCCAACGUGCUCUCUUUACCUGUCAUCCUCAAAUUCUGCGGCACUUUUGUUAUUGUCGCCGUCCAUAAUCACUCUCUCCGUCGCAAUCUCACCUCUGCGAUUUUUGCCAUAUCCAAGCUAACGUUGACGGAGAUGUGGGCGAGGUAAUAAAGAGGAGCGCAGCGCAGACAUAGGGGUAGUGGAAGAGGAGGAAAAGGAAGAGAAAGCAGGAUGAGAAUGAGAGAAAGAAACGGCGAGAAGGAAGCGGACAAAAAUAAAAGAAAGAAAAAAAAAAGGAGGGAGAAAAAAUAACUAACAGUUUUUUGCUUAGUUUAUUUAAAAAUUUAGAUUGAAUCUGUAAAAGUCAAAAUAGUGACCUGUUUUUGAAAGGCUAAAAAACGAUGAAUUUUUUAUACAAACUGGCCUUAGAAUAACAAGAGGAAGAAGAAGAGAAAUACUGCUGUUAUUAACGGAGAUGCCACAGAUGCCCGUCCACAACAACUGGGGAUUCCCUCUUUGUUUGCAUUCCCAGGUCAGGCUACAACAGCCCACGUGCUUGUUGCUUCUGCAGUGUCACACAAUAUGAGCCUCCUACUAAGGAAUUUGCAUACUUCUCGCAUUAUUAUAUUCAGAUAAAAAUAUACAAAAUUUAUUAUAACUAUAAAGUAUUUUGAAUCGGCUAUCAAAUCUUUCAAAAAAUUAAUUUAACUAUCCAAUAAUUUGAUUUAAUUAUUUGAUUUGAGUCACUCAACGAUACUUUGACUUCAAAAUUUGAAUGCAUCGUUUAUUUUUACAGAUUUAGUUAGUAUACUCUAUGCAACUUUCGUAAUUCUAAAUUUAUUAAAGUAAAGUAAUCAAUUCAAAUUUUGAUGUCAAAGUAACGUUUAACAAUUCAAAUCAAACAAAUUGAAAGGGUAGAUAGUAAAAUUAAAAUUUAAAAAGGUUGGGCAGCCGAUUCAACAUGGUCUAUAAUUUACGUGAAUAAUGUGCAUUUUUUUUCAUUAUAUUUAGGGUAAAUUAUACUUUCGGUCCUCAAGCUAUGAAACAUGUGGUAUUUUGGUUUGCAAACUCUCAUUAGUUAUAACUUUUGACUUGAACCUUCUAGAUUGUCACAAUUAAAAUUUACGGUGUAAUUUAGUUGGCCGAAGGAUGAUGCUUUGCUAAUGUGAUAGUGAUAUGGUAUCUUAGUCAGUCUUACGUCAUCAUCACGAUUUGGUCAACUAAUUAUACCGUGGGACUUGAUUGAAAUUAUUUAGAAAAUUCAAGUCAAAAUAUUACAACAAAUUAAAAUUCAAGGAUCGAGUGUCAGGCACUUCAUAGUUUGAGGACCAAAAGUGCAAUUUAACUUUAUAUUUAAAGAAAAUGCUAGGUGCACACCCUAAAUAGGAGGUGUAGAUCUUACACCCUCCCAUUCAAGGGUUCACAAAUCCUAUAGAAUUUUUCAAUAUUAUAUCAGAAAAGAGUUUGACAAGAAUGAAAAUAAUAAUAAUAGAAAUAAUAAUAAUAGCACUGGAUGAUGUAAUGUAAAAUUUAUGCCUCUUGUGGAGUGUAUAGAUAGUAUUGCUCCUAAAUUGCUGAUUAAAAGUCAGAAGUUUACGAAUUCAGCCUCCCAACUUCUUUGGGGGAAGGAUUCUUGUAGUAGGGUCUCUGGACUUGUUCAGAACAAAUAUUUAUUUUUAGGGCUUUUUUUGCAAAUAGCCCCCUAAAAAAUUUUAUUUUCGAAAAUAGCCCUGUGUAAAAAUUAUUUGCAAAAAUGGCCCUGGCCCCGCUCCGUCAGCGCCACGUCAGCGCCAUGCGGGCGGGGCUGGGCCAAUUGUAUAAGUUGAACACGGUGAACCAUUCACCGUGUUCAAUACAANGAUAUUUUGAUUUCAAAAUUUGAAUGCGCCGUUUGUUCUUUACAGAUUUAGUUAGUAUACUCUAUACAACUUUCGUAAUUAUAAAUUUAUUAAUAAGUAAUUGAUUUAAAUUUUGAAGUCAAAGUAACGUUUAAUAACUCAAAUCAAACAAAUUGAAAGGUUAGAUAGUAAAAUCAAAAUUUUAAAAGAUUAGAUAGCCGAUUCAAAAUGGUCUAUAAUUUACGUGAAUAAUGUGCAUUUUUUUCAUUAUAUUUAGGGUAUGUUUGGUUCAUGAUUGGAAUAGGAAUGGAAAAUAGAAUCGGAUUACUUUGGAAUGGAAAAUGGAAUGACGAAUCAUCCAAAAAUAUUUGGUUCAUUAUUGGAAUGGAAAUCGGAAUAAAAAUUUAAAAUUUUUGAGAGAGGGUUUUGAUUAAGAAAGAGGAAAGUGAUGAAGGGAGAGGAGAUAGAUGUUGAUGAAAGAUAAUUUUAAAUAGUUUACUUUGGAAUGAGCCAAUCCGGAAUUCAAAUCCGGAUUGGAUCAUAAAUGGAUUUGGUCAUUCUCAUUUCGGAGUGGAAUGGGAAUCGGAAUUCGAUUACUAUAAAACAAAAGACAAUUAUCGGAAUCAAUGAAUUCUAUUUCAAUUCCAUAGUCUAAAAUAGAUGAACCAAACAUAUAUGCCCUUAGGGUAAAUUAUACUUUCGGUCCUCAAACUAUGAAACAUGUGGUAUUUUGGUUCCCAAGCUUUUGGCUUGAACCUUUUAGAUUCUCACAAUUAAGAUUUACGGUGCAUACAUUUUAACUGUACACACACACAGACACACACACACACACACACACACACGUCCGUGAGCCUAUUCUUGUGUAUAUAUGUGUGUGUGUGUGUGUGUGUGUCUCUCUCUCUCUCUCUCUCUCUCACACACACACACACACAUCAAAAUAGCUUCUUCUCAAAUGGAGGCCUCGGCUUUGACAUGGUGGUGCGCGCUUCUCCUGGGAGCAGUUCCAUUCCUUGUUCAGGUGAUUUGGUACUGGAAUGAUCUGCGAUACUUUACUUCUGCAAAGAUCAAAUCAAUGAAGAAGAAUAAUAAUAGUAGUGGUGGCAACGACGGUGGUCGCGGUGGCGAUGACAAUAGUAGUAGUAAGGGCGUCGCGGGCCGGGGUAAGCUUCCGCCGGGCCACAUGGGCUUGCCCGUCAUCGGCGAGACCCUCUCCUUGCUUUGGUACUUCAACUUUGUUCAUCGUCCGGAUGACUUCAUCAACUCUAAGAAGCAGAGGUCAGACAGCUUUUAUAUAAACCAUCGUUUUAAAGCAUAAUUAAGUCUAGUUUGGAAAUGAAUUGCCCAAAAUAUCUAAUCUAGAGCGCGAAAAUAAUAAAAAUUCUAAGGUACUCUCAAGCAUUAAUUAGCUCCAUUGGAUUGGAAGUUCUAAUCGUUAUUAUUUCACAAUAUAGGAAAAGUCAAGCUUCAAAGUGCUUAAAACUGUUGUACUAAAAAAUUGAUUCCAAAACUAGCUGGGCCUAAUCUUAGGCGCCCGGAUUAAAAUAAGAUACUUUUAAAAUUUAGAAAGGAAUAUUAAAUAUUAUCCCUUUCUUUAACUAUUCAACAAAGAGAUCGGAUCAAACCACCGGGGGGGCACUUCUUUAGAAAGUUUCAACCAUUUUUUGGAAAUUAAAUUUUUUAACUUUUGUAACGAUCCAACAACGGAUAGCAAUAUUAACUCGUUGGGCCCAAAUCACCGACCCAAAAUACUUAAAUUCAGUAUUUAUUACUAACUUGUAAGCCUCAUAUAUAUAUAUUAUAAUCAAAAUUAUUUUCACAUCCGAUAUGAAACUACUGGGGCGUUACAUUUUUGAUAUAAAAUGUGCGCGUGCAGGUAUGGAGAGGGGGCAGGGAUGUACCGAACGCACCUAUGCGGGAAGCCGACGAUCGUGGCGUGCACGCCGGCUGCCAACAAGUUCGUGCUGCAGUCGGGCGGGGAGGACUUCCGGUCAAUGUGGCCGUCGGUGGAGCUGGUGGGGCCGUCUUCCGUCAGCAACGUCGAGGGCCGUCAGCACGUUCGCAUCCGCGCAUUCGUCCUCGCUGCAGCUAACCACCCCAAAUCCCUCAGCAAGAUUGCCCGCGCCAUCCAGCCCAGCAUCGUCGCCGCCCUGCGGUCGUGGGCGGUCGCCGGCACGAUCAACGCCUCCGUCGAGACCAAGAAUGUGAGAGAAGCAUGCGGUUACAUGUUUUCAAUAUUCUCGCUGAUUAUUCACUAUUCACAUGAAAAUUUUUAACCGUUAUUUUCAAUUAAGCUAAGAUCUAAAUCCUUUCCGAUCUUGCCUAUUAUUUCAUUAUUUUAUAUUUUUUUACUGCUUUCUAAGUUAGUACACGGGCAUGCUGAUACCUCUGCACUCCAAAAUGGAUAUAGAUCUUAAUUACGCCCCUCGUUUUUCAAUAUUGGAUGUUGAAAUUAACCGUCUAAACUUUGGAUAAGUUGAGUGUAAGAUUUGCAGCAAACUUUUGAAUGUACAAAUAGCAUUUCUCAAACUUCAAAUCCAUAGGGCUUCUUUUAUGCAGGAAGUAGUCUAUAAUUAAGGACAAAAAACCAACAUAAACAACUUAGCUAGCGGCUGAAAAUUAUCUAAUCUAAUCACUUGUUUGACAUGCCUGGAUUUGAUGAUGAAAACACGAGUAAGGGUAUAUAAGGAUUUACCACUCUCGGCUAUUUUGUUGUAUAUAGUUGCAAUUACAAUGCAAUUGUAUUUAUAUGUAGAGAUUUAAAUCCGAUGUUUAGUUUGAUACAUUUGAAUCUAAGUGUUGUAGUUGAAACUGUAUGAAAAAAUCCAACUGCAGCAGUUAAAACUAUAUUCAAAUUGGCCGCAGGUUGAAUUGUAAUAAUUGCAAAGAGUAAUUUUAAACAAAAGAUAAGCUUAUCCUGCUUAUUACUUUUUUAUUUUUUUAUUUUUAUUUUACAUUGAUGGCAAUCUAACCACCACCACUGAUACCACAUAUAUAAAAUGAUAAAAUUUUAAAAUACACUUCUUAACUGCACGCAAUCAAACAAAUUAUUUAUAAUUGCAAUAUUUUUUAUUAUAUCUAAUCAAACAAGAGGAAUAUAACUGUAACUGCAUGGCACGCAGUUUGAGCCAAACGAGUUAUAUAUUAGUACUAGUGUGCUGAAUCGUUACAGCUCCAAUAUAUAAUUGUGCUACUAUCUUAUAACAAAAUUUUUCAGGUAAUAUUUAAGAACAUAUGCAAGAUGUUUGUUAGUAUGGAUCCAUCGCCCGUCACCGAAGAGAUAGAUCGGUGCUUUGAAGGCUUUGCUGCAGGGUUCAGAUCAGUGCCCAUCAACUUUCCAGGCACUACAUUUCAUCACGCUCUUCAGGUAGAAAAAUUCACAACCAAUGUACAAGCGCAUGGGGUUUAAUUUAUUCUUAAUUUCCAUUCAAAUUCUUCUUUUUUUGAUAGAAUCUACAUACUACGAGAAUAUAUACAAUUAUGCCUUCCACUGUAGGGAUAAUAUGUACGUAAUAUGUCUUUCAAAAUUUUAAAAAUAUUUUAUAUAUUUCCGAAGGAUCAAAAUUAAUAUUCUUAUUGAUUUUAAAAAAUUUCUUCAAAUAUCUCCAUUUCUGGGUUUAAAAAGAUAUUUUGAUAAUUUCUAGGUAAAUUUAAAAAUUUUGAAUAGUAACGAAGAAUAAAUAAGCAAAAGCCUCUAAUUUUUAAAUCGGAGUUUUUUGAACUACAAUAUAACGUGCAUAAAAUCAGAAUACACAUACCGUUGAGCACUAAAUAGGCUCAGAAAAUUCACGAGUAAUGGUACAUGUCCUCCCAAUCCCAACAAAUAUGGUAGAGAUAUCUAAAAACUACUCUCACUUAGAAUUAAACAGAAAUGUUAUCCAUAUAUAUUUAUUAAUGGAUAGUAAUUUUAUGGACUAUAUAUGGUGGAAAAGCUUUUAGUUUUCCCAACUAAUCCCAAAUAUUUAAGCGGUGAUAACUUCUAAACCUAUAUAUAGAGAAAGAGACGGAGAGAGAGACAGAGAGAGCUAAGUUGGAAUACUAUUGAUAGUAAAAGAUCCUUUUUGUUAUCAAGUUUUUAAUCCUUGGAUGAGAAAUUGUAGGAUUAUGAUGAUAUUAGUCCCUUAGAUAUGAGUGGUUCCUCUAAGGUUGAGUGGUCUUUACUGGAUUAUAAUAUUUAAUCCAAUGGUUAGAAAUGAUGAAAAAAAUUGAUCCAAAAACUAAAAACUUUUUUUUGUUUUUUAAAAAUAGAUAGCAUGCUACCCGUUUCGUUUAUCUCAUUUAGAAAUAAACUUAGCUAGAAAUGUGAAUCAACUAAGAUUCGAACUUAGGUCUCGGGUACCAACCACCAAGCCCUUUGCUACUUGCUCUAGGGACAGUCGGUUUCCAAAAACUAGAAACUUGAUAGCAAAAAAGUCUUUUUGUUAUCUAUAGUAUUCUAGCCCAACUCUCUCUCUCUCUCUCUAUAUAUAUGUAGAGUAGGGCUACUGUGCUAUUAGGAGCACAAUAACCCUUGUGCUUCUAACUUUCUAACCACCCAUCAAGUUUGAUGGAUGGUUAGAAUGAGAGAGGGAGAAUAUAUUGAAGAGAAAUUCAAGGAGAAGAAAAAUUGAGACACCCAAUUUCUCCCCAAUAUCUCCUCCCUCUUUUAUUUAACUUGAUGGAUGGUUAGAAAGUUAGUAGCACAAGGGCUGCUGUGCUCCUAAUAGCACAAUAGUCCUGCUCUCUCUCUCUCUCUCUCUCUCUAUAUAUAUAUAUAUAUUUCUCACUAAAAAAGUGUGCUUAUUAUUACUUCACAUGGUGUAUUGGUGUCACAUUUUCUGAGUACAUGCACGCUGCAGAAGCAAACCUUUCUUUUCUUACUUAAUUAGUCUUAAAAUCAUACCAAAAUGUUGCAACCAAAGAGAAUUGGAAAGGCAAAAAAUUAGGAACAAAUAUAUGGCAAUUGGAACAAGUGAAGAGAAUACAAACGGCUCCAACCCGAGCAGUACUCUAUUUUUUCCGAUACAUAGAAACUGUAAAUUUGAGUUUUCUACACGUCGAAGAUCGCAGAAGACAAAAACAAAAAAAAUAUAAAGCUCAUAAUAAUAAUCUCAAAUAACUCUAAAACUGAGAUCAAUCAAUUUCACCAAAAGAGUAUUAAAACACAAUACAAAAGGAAACAAAAAACCACCAAAUAAAAAAUUCAACCAAAACCAAUGAAUGUUAACAAGACAAGGAAAAAUGUAGAUUAAAGGUUAUCCAUCUCAAACCUAACAAAAUUCUACAUAAGGAAAUGAAGAAGGAGAAGAAGCUAUUUUCCUCGCUCACACUCCUACCUGACUCUUUUAUUCUUCUAACCCCUAACUAAACUCAUAUGAUCCAACUUAAUUGACUCACUUAAUCCAAAAUAAGUCGCAUGACUUAACUUGACUCAAAAGAACAUAAAAGUACUCAUUUAAAAGAUCAAAUGAGCUUCUACGAAUUUAUUUAUUAAUUCUUGUAAACAAGAAUUAAAGAAAAAAACAAAAAAAAAAAGUUUAGCACUAACUUUUAACUACAAGAAGAAGGCCUCUUAUACCGAUUUUGUGGCAGUGUCGACGAAAAUUGUCAGCAAUAUUUAGAGAAGAACUCGCAAAGAGGAAGGAAAAGAAGCAUGGAGUCGAAGAAGCCGGUGAUCUAAUGAAUGGCUUGAUGCAAGUGGAGGACGACGAAGGGAAGCAAAUGAGCGACGACGAAGUCAUAGACAACACCAUUACCCUCGUCCUCGCGGGGUACAAAUCGACUUCACUUGCUAUAAUGUGGGCUCUCUAUCACUUGUCGAAAACCCCGGAUGUUCUUCAUAAGCUACGGGUAAUUUAUCUAAACAUUGUACUAGAAAAACUAGUUCUACUUGAUCAAUAGCCUUGUACUAUGCAUAUUGGUUUCUCUUUUUAAGCUAAAAACAAAUGUAGGAAGAGAACAUCUUGCUAAGAAAAGAGAAGAAAGGGGAGUUCCUCACAUUGGAUGAUACAUAUCAAUUGAAGUACACAUCUAAGGUAUAUAUAUAGUGUCAUGUGUAAAUUUUCUCACUAGCUUAGCUUAUUAUUUCAUGAGCAUGUAACUACAACGAGUUAUUUCAUCGAUUUUUUGCCCUUAUGGAUCUGUAGGUUGUGGAAGAAACACUUAGGUUAGGGAACAUAACUAUGUCGGUUCCUCGAGUCGCCAACCGAGACAUCGAGUAUCAAGGUAUGUAACAUAAAGUUUCUUUCCUUUUUUUUUGAUUGGUUCUAAAUACAUGUAGUAAAUCAAUAGUAGAUAAGUGAAUUGUACAAGAAUACAGGCUAUAGAAUACCUAAAGGAUGGCAAGUUCUUGUUUGGAUCCGAUCGCUGCACACGGAUGCGAAGAACUUCGACGAUCCACUGAGCUUCAACCCCGAUAGAUGGGACGUAAGUUUACGAGACUUCGAAAGCCUAAUUCUACUUCAGCUAGUUACGUACUUUUCGUAUAUAGUGAUCAGUUGGAUUCUUUCGUGUAGAAACCGGCGAAACCUGGCACGUUCCAAGCGUUCGGAGGGGGCCGGAGGAUUUGCGCGGGAAACAUGCUUGCGCGAUUAAAUCUUACAAUCAUCCUGCAUCACCUCUCUGUUGGUUAUAAGUAAAUGAUCCGCGCAAACUUUUAUCUCCCUACAUUGUUUUUAAGUUAUGAAAUUCGUAGUUAAAGCUAAUUGUGUGAUUGCUUAGGUGGGAAUUGCUCAAUCCAAAUGCAAAGAUAUCACACUUCCCUCAUCCAAGGCCUGUAGAUGGGGCUGCAAUGAAAUUUAGUACACUUUGAAGCUACAUAAAGGACUGAAGUGGAUCAAAUGUUAUUGGGCUCUGAUUUAGUUCCUAGAAGCUGUUAUGUAGCAUAAAUGCGAGAUAUUAACUGUGAGCAAAUAAGUUGGUGUUGAUUUGGGUAAUAUCAAUAUCUCAAAUUGAAAGAGUGUUUGCCUUAAUUUGGUGAAACUACAAUGGCCUCUGUUUGGAUUGUAAAAUUUUCCACACCUAUUUUCGUGAGCAAAUCAUAGCUGGACAUUAACUACUCUUUUUUUUGUUUACGUCUUGAACAAGAAUUUUGAUGAAAAUGGUACCUCACCUGUGAAUGUUUAAUAUUGUAAUAGUUAGGUUUACAUUCCCGCUCUUGUGAUAUGCUCUCGUGCAAAACUGUAUGGUAUUAUUUUUUCUAUAUAAAAUUUAAUGUACUUAUUUAGUGGAGUCUUGGUUGACGGACAGGAAAAGCUUUGUCCGUUCGGCGAUCUGUGCAUGCGCCUAGACUGACCAAAUCGGCGGUCGCGCUGCGUGACAUCACCCAUAGACAACAGAUAAAAGCAAGGUUAAAUUUGAUGGAAUGCACCAGCUAAGCGCCUACAUGACUAUUUUGGAUGGUUAUCGAAUAAAGUCUCUUGUCUCGAUGAAGAGCGAGUAGUGCAAAUUGCAUUUUGGAUGGUUAGGAUGAGAGAGAGAAGAGGAAUCAGUGAAAAUUUGGGUGUCUCCAUUGGACACCUGGGCCGAGUGCGUGUUCAUGCGUGUUUCCAUUGGACACGAGUCUGACACGAACACGUGAGAUUUAUAAAAAUAUCUCCAGUAUAUGAUUCUAAAGAUAUAGAUUUGAAUUAUAAUUUUUGCGUGGUGUGUACCUCUCCAAAUCUUCUUUUGAAAAAUAAAUAGUAAACUACCUGUUUUAUUUAUUAGAAAAAUAAAUUAGGCAUACAUAAUGGAGACAGCGAGGUCCUCCCAAGUACCUCUCCAAAUCUUUAAUUUAAAAUUUCUGUUUUCUGUGUGCAUUCCAGCUGUGUCAAUUAUUAUUGUACUGCUACUUUUUGAAAUACAUGCGAAUCUUUAAUGCUUGUCUUGUGUCAUGUUUAUGGCUUUAUGCUACAGCCUACAAAAAGCUCACCUAGAGUCUAGAGAUGCUUGGUGUUUGUUUCUUUUCUUUUUCUUUUUGUAUUUAUUUUUGUUUCUAUUUUUGCUUUUUGUUAUAGAAGUAUAUGCUUGGUAAGGUUUAGGGAUGUCAAUAGUAAUGAAUACUCGAAAGUUUAUCCGAAUUCGAAUUCAAAUAAAACGGAUAUAUCCGAUACUAAAUGGAUAUAGAUUCGGAUAUGGAUAUCAAAAAUAGAAAUCCGACGAAUAUGAAUUCGGAUAUGAAUUUUGACUCUACCCGAACCGAACCCGAAUCCGAACCCGAAUUUAUUUUAUAUUAUAUAAAAUAUAGAGUGCUGCUGGUAUGCUUCUGGAAGCACGGAGCGCUCCGUGCUUCCAAGUCGUUUCGAUGUUGGGACUUUCAAAUCGACUAUCAGCUCCGUUAGACUUGAUUUAGAGUAUUUUAAGUAUCUAGAAAAUAAAUUUUGCGAUUUCUUGAUAUCUUUUGCUUAAUGAUCGAAGUGGCUCAAAAAUAACGGCUGAAAAUAAAAAUAUUACAAAAUAUGAUGAUAUGACAUUAAAAUUUUAGAUAAAAAAUAUUGAUCUUGUUUUAUAUAGUAUAAAGAAUUUUCUAUCAAAAUUUUACAUGAUUUGAAUAUUCCUAUACCGUUAAACUUGUAAAUAGCUCAUCACGGCCAUUAAAAUUAUUGAUUUGAGCUCCUUCGAUUACUGGGCAAAUGAUAUCAAAAAAUUACAAAAUUUAUUUUUUAAAUACUUCAAAUACUCUAGAUUAAGUUUAACGGAGCCGAUCGUCAAUUUGAAAAUCCCGAAAACGACUUGGAAGCACGGAAGGCUUCAUACUUUCAGAAGCAUAUAUAUAUAUAUAUAGAGUCCGACUGCCAUGCUAUUGAUAGCACUAAGCACUUGGUGCUAUCAAGUUUUCUGCCGUUAAAUUAACCCCUUUGAUUAUUUUUAUCCGUUAGAUUAUACUAUUAAACCAACCACCCACUCAACCCUAAGGGGCCCACAUCAUCCUAACCGCACAUCUUUUAAUCUAAGGGCAGAAAACUUAAUAGCACCAAGUCAUUGGUACUAUUAAUAGUAUUCCAGCCUAUAUAUAUAUAUAUAUAUAUAUAUAUAUAUAUAUAUAUAUAUAUAUAAAAGAGGGGGAAAGAGAGGUCCAUGGACCUGUCUUAUGCGGUCCACGAGGUGGAGCGGACCUUGUGGAUCAUGUGCUUUCUUCCUCCGUGCGGCAUGCCCAAUGCCGCGCGUUUUCGUUUUCUCUCGAAUCGAGCGGAAAAUAAAAACCUCUAUUUUUCUUAGAAUCUGUAAAAAAAAAAAAAUUUCUGAAUUUUUUUUUAACGAGCCACAAAACACGAAAAUCUCAUUUUUCAACAAAAAAAAAAAAAUUUAAGAUAAUUUUACGAUGAACAAAACACGUCCUUACCUAUUAUUUCUAUAGUAUUUUGGAGUAUAUAUUUUUAAUAACUUUAUUGAGCUCGUUAAAAAAACCCAUUUGAGGAAUAAUUUCAAUUAUAUAAAAUAAAGUCUUCAUAUUAAAUAAAUCUUGUAUAAUUUUACGAUGAACAAAACACGUCCUUACCUAUUAUUUCUAUAGUAUUUUGGAGUAUAUAUUUUUAAUAACUUUAUUGAGCUCGUGCAUAAAACCCAUUUGAGGAAUAAUUUCAAUUAUAUAAAAUAAAGUCUUCAUAUUAAAUAAAUCUUUAUAUUCAAUAGACAUCCAAAUAGAAUCAUUUAGUUAAAGGUAGAGUUUAUCCAAAUUAUACAUGGAUUAUAUUUAAAAUUUAUGUAAUUAGAGCAAGAUUUAUAAUUAUUCAAAAUAAAAGUUGAAUUUGCUCUUUGUUAUGACUUCAUGAUUAUAUACAGUUAGGUAUGAAUUAAUUAGGUGAAUAACUACGAUAGAUAUGGCAGCAUAAAAUCGAGGGUGUCGCAACUAGAGAUUUUUUAUUAAUAAAGUAUUAGUUUAGUUAUUUUCUUUCUUCUUUAAUAUUUUUUUUUAAAAUUACAUAAUUUAUAUCAGUACAAAUAUUGAUUCUAAUAAUUAUAUUAAAAAAAACUUACGCUUCCACACGAUCGAUGCCAACAUAACAGAUCCCCAAGAACUUAUAAUAGGCUCGUUACGCAUGCAAGAUUAACAUUUGCGUUGCCACCGACCGUCCCUAGAGCAAGUGAUAAAAAGCUUGAUGGUUGGUAUUCGAGACCCAAGUUCGAAUCUUAGAUGAUUCACAUUUCAAGCUAAGUUUAUUUCUAAAUGAAAUAGACGAAAUGGGUAGACCAAUCUCUCUCAAAAAAAAAAAAAAAAAGCCAGAGAUGCAAAUAGAAAUAUGUAUAAUUUUUUUUGAUAUAAUCGCAGGUAUAUAAUAUAUCAUAACCGANUUUUUUUUUUUUUUUUUUUUUUUUAUCGUCAAAUUACUAAACCGGUGUAUGAUAUGUACGGAUAAACCCGGUGCACGUAAUGUUUCUCAUGCUGUCGUGCAGUCCGUGUUAUCCAAAUCCACGCCACGUAGUCUCUAUCCCAUUACGUCACCUCAACAGUCAACACCCCCCGACCCGGCCAAAAAAAAUAAAAUAAAAUAAAAUAAAAUAAAAAGAAAAACCCCUUCCCUUUCGUAAAACUUAAAAAAACUCCCGCAUUUCCUCCGCCGCAGAGUGCGCCUGUGGCUCUCUCCUUCGUUUGAUUCUUGCGUCGAGCUCUGCUGCGAAGGAGAAGGAAAAGGGCGGGCGAGGUCGAGAUGCGGGAGAAUGGCUUACGCCACGGUCUCGUCUCCCGCUCUCUUCCCCUUCUUCGUCCGCCGCAGCCCUAACCCUACUACCCCCCUCUCCCCCUCCCCCUUCGCUCUCCCGAGGAGAGCUCGCCCUCUCCUCCCCCCUCUCCGUCCGCCAUUAGAGCACAAGAGGGGCCCCCGCGCCCUAGGGUUCGCCGUCUCCGCGGCGAGGGGGAGGAGGGCGAGGGCCGCGGAGGAUGCGUUCGGGGAUUUGGAGGCGGAGAUCUACGAGUUCAUGCGGCGGUCGCCGAAGCCCAACGAUUUCCCCACCCGCGCGGAGCUGGUCGCCUCGGGGCGCGCGGAUCUCGCCGACGCCGUCGCCGCGCAGGGGGGGUGGCUCGCCCUCGGGUGGGACGUCGACGAGGGGGCGAAGGAGACCAAUGGCGGUGCGAGUGCGAGUUCCGCGUCGGGCGAGCCGGAGAAAGGGCUCUCUCGAGAUGAUUCUAGGGUUUUGCAGCAGCGGCUUUCGUGUAGUAGUUCGGAUUUUUCGGAGGCUUCCUCUUCUGGGAGAUCACUGUGAGCUGCGAUCCUCGUAACCAUUUCGAUUGUUUUAGUGCUCUUCUUUCGGUUCUUUUUAAGUUAUGUUUUCUUGCAUUGUUUGAUAUCUGAAGGGAAAGGGAGGAGGAUGCCGAGGAUAGCGGGAUUGAGGGGAUACUGAGUAGAUUGGAGAAAGAGAGGAACUGGUCGUAUGCUGUGAGUUCUGAAGGGAGAGGAAGGAACGGUCGAACCUUGCGGAGUCAUGGGGUUCUUGAUCCGGGAGACACAGGUGGAUUUUCUUUCUUGAGCUGAGAUCGAGCGUUUCUAUAUAUGUCAUGAUUGCCAAUUUUAUGUCUAUCAACUCGGCAUCAUAUUAUAUUAGUUGCGACGAAGAGAUGAACCAAUGUAUGUUCCAUUCAGAAUGUGUUGCCACCAAACCUAACUUUUAAUAGUAAUUGAAAAGGCAUGCCUUCAGCCAGUGUCUUGCCGUGAGGCAAAGGUUCGCGCCUCACUGCACCCUAUGUGCAACUUUGCGACUGGUGCGCGCUUUGUGAUAUGUUCAGUUUAAAUGUUCUCCAGUCUCUUAGGUAGAAUAUCUGUUCAUGUGAUGCCUUUCCUUUUCUAUGGAAGCUGCUAUUUCGCUGCUUAGACACCUUUUAUGUUUAAGUGUCCAUGCACUGUUACUUUGUAAGUGUACAAAAAUAUUUAGUAUUUCUCUCAAAAAAAAAAAAAAAAAUUUAGUAUUCACAUUUGCUAAUUCAGUCUCCUUUUCUUCCGGAUGUGCUUUCUUGUAAAUGAUCACUGUGAUAAUUUAUUGUCCCAGUACUCAUAUGUCAUAGCUCGUAGUCAAAUUGUUACUAUAUUUAAGAGUGUCUUAUUUUGCUUAAUUUUUUUUGAAUAUUGACCCUAACUUAUUGAGGCAAAUGCCUUUUGAGUGUGCCUCAUGCCUUGGCUCUAGGAGCCCCUUGGGCCUCUUCGCAUCUUGUUCGUUAAAAAAACUUAGGUGCCCGAUGCUGACUGUGUAACAACAAGAAAUAGGCUGAAAGUUCAGAUAGUUUGCCUGCUACAUCUUUUAUAUUUCAAACUAAAAAUCUGCAAUUUUCUACAGUUUUAAUAUGAUUAAAUUAGUUUGACAAGUACUUAUGGUGUUUCACUGGUUCAACCAAAACAUAAAAAACUUGAAGUAAGCUCAUCCCUUCCCUAAUCUGACACCAUUGUCAUUAUAUAGUGAACUCCAAUAGUGUUUUAAUAACAAUGUAUGAUCCACAAAAUCAGGUUUGAUUUAACGUGUUGAAGUGCUAUGAAAGGUCACUAAUCUAUAUGUGAUAUCUAAGCAAAGCAUAUGUUAGUGUAGUUAUGUGGAUGUGGGAGCAUAGCAUCCCUUAACGCCAUAUCGUAGGCUUGGACAUAUCUCGCUAGAGGUAUACUUGGUGUCUGAGAACACAUGUACAAAGACACUACAAUAACAUGCUAUAACAAUCUUCAUUUUAAGCCACUUUCAAAUUUUCAAUAGUUGUAACUGUGAAUAGGUAAAUUUACUCCACUCAAAGAAGUGUUUUAAGAGAUGUUAAAACUGGCAGUUUCAGCGGAUCUAACGAAUAUUGUUCUUUUUUCAUAAAAGCAAUAAUAUUCAACAUUAACAGGCAUUAAUCUCUUUCUCUCACAUACUGUGUGGAUGGUAAUUGACUCAGAUACCUAUAUAUGAUUACCUUUUAUUCUUGCUAAUAUGGUUGUGUAUCAUAUUUUCAUAUUCUUUAUUGAAAAUCUAUACUUGUAGUUUUUUAUCUUUUUUCCUGUAAUAUUAACUUACGAUCUUCUGGCAAGCUUAAUUGGCAUACAAUAAAGUUAAUACGACUGAUUUUGUGAACUUAGAUAAUUUGACACAAUCAGGUUUAUUCCGCAUGACAUUAUUCUAAGAGGCGGUGUGCCCACCUGCGUAUGCUGAUGAGGUUUUGUGACAACCCUACACAGAUUACAAUUUGCAUGUCGUGUAACUACUGCAUGAUGAGCACGUAGGAAGAUCGUGUAUUGUCAGUCACUAUAAGCAAAUAAGUAGGUUUAUAGCAUGGUAUGACCUCUUCAAUAAAAAAAAACUUGCUGUAUAGGGCUUUGUUAAUAAUUUUGAUUAUAGACUACUUUGUACUUACAAUUUUUUUUCUUAAUAUAAAACUUGCUAUGUAGGGCUUUGUUAAUAAUUUUGAUUAUAGACUACUUUGUACAUACAAUUUUUUUCUUAAGAAAAUCUAAUUGAAUCUUAGAUAUGUAUAUUUAAAAUGUCCUGGAAUUUAGUUCGAUUGUCAGAAAUUCUAUAUCUUAGUUAUUUUUCUUGAUUCUUUGAUAUUUUUUAUUUAUCAUAUGUUUUCAUAUAUUCUUAUAUUUGUUAUAUCUUAUGCAUCUUAACUGAACACCCGCCUAUAGCAUAUUUACCAUGCGGUACCUUGUCUGUAUGCAAAAUGUUCAGCUGCAUAGUCACUACAUGGCAUACUUGUUUAAGGUUUUUCAUUCUAGUGUUUAGUUAUAACUUAGGAUGAAACCAAAGAUGGUUUGAAAAUCUGGUUUCCCACAUUUGAAUUUCUUAUUCCACAUUUGGGUAACAGUCGUCACUUAUCACUUGGUAUUGAGUAAUAGUUGCUUAUACGCAGGCACACUUUUUAUUGUGCAUUCAAAAUUUCUGAGAGUGCUCUUUGCUAGAUUUUUAUACAUUUUUUUUGUGGAUUGGCUGCUCGUUUUCUUUCCAAUCUCUAGUAUUCUAUUUCCUUAACUGAACAGACGCUGUACUAUUGAAGAUGCAGUUUUAAUCAACGACAAAAUCACAGUUGAUAGAAGUGAGAUAGGAAGUAAUGGUAUAUUACGAGAUUUUGAAAAGAAACUUUUGUAUGAUUAUGGGGGUACUCAUUCGCAAUAUGGAACACUAACAGAUGUCAAUAACACGAGAAAUUUAACUUCUAGCAUGUGGAGAAAAUGGAGCACACGAAGGGCAGGAUUUCCUGAUACUGACUUUCAAGGUUGUCUUUUUCUCAUUUGGUGCCAUUGCAAUGUAGAAAUUUUAGAUAUUCAUACUAUGCCAACUCUCUUGUGCAGCUGCUGAAAUUGUUCCAAAUGGUGACAGAAAGAUUGUUGAAAAUGGUUCGCUAAGUGAUGUUUCACUUGAUGGCGAGAUGCAUCGACCAAGCAAGAGUGUGGUUGGAAUUGGUAAGGCAAGCAGUAAUUUGUACUCUGAGCAAAAUCAGAUACGUAUGCGUCUUCAGCAUUUGGAAUCAGAUCUUACCUCGGCACUUCAAUCAUUAAGAUCGAAAGCUAAUAGUCUUCUAUCACAUGAGGUGUGUCAUCAUUAAUAAUUUGAUUUAUUCUGGAGCCUAAUGCUCUUUGACUUCCUGACCUGUAUCUAUCAGCAAAAUAUUUUAGGAGUAAUUUAGCUGUUAAUAUACAUUUUUCAUAUGGAGAUGUUUACCAUAAGUUUUAUAGUUCGGCUUUCUUUUUUUGUUUCCCAAAUUUUGUCCUUGUCUUAGGUGAUGUUAAGAUUCUACAUGUUUCUAUAUCAGGUAAACUUGGAAAAUACUCAGUAGGUUUAGCUGUGAAGUUGUUAAUUUUGGCUUUUUUGAUUUUCAGGGCAAAGAAAAUUCGUUGGACGAGCUGCAUAGGCUCUCCGAUGCUUGGGAGUUCCAAGAGACUGAGAUAAUGCAUGCUCGAGAUCAGCUACGGUCUAUUCGUGCCAAAUUGGCAGUACUUGAAGGAAAAAUGGCACUUCAGAUGAUGUAUGCAUUACUUGACAUUGAUCUUUCUUCCCACGCUACUUAAAUUUAGUAGCAUUAGCAGCAUGUUGUGUUUUGGACAGUGAAGCACAAAAGGUGAUAGAAGAGAGGCAGAAGAAGCUUGAUGCUGCUCAGAAGGCUUUACACUUUCUUCGUACAGCUUGCAUUGUGUGGCCUAAUCCUGCCUCGGAGGUUUUUUUGGCUGGAUCUUUUGAUGGAUGGACAAGUCAGGUUUGUAUUUGGGAUCUUAAUUUCACUCAAAGAAGAUAUUUACUGAUUAGCUUUCGUAUUUGGUCUGCUGUUGCUAUCUGUAUUUAGUCAGUUCCUUUUUUGUAUCUUGUACCGUUAUAAGACUUCUUGCAAUUAUGUUAGAGCUUGAAUUUGAACCUGCUAACCGAACAGGUGCUUUGUUUGAUUAUUGUUGAAGGCUGUUAAUUUUCAGUUAAGAGUCGGAAAAAUCUCAAUAGGAAAAGUGAGCUUGGGUUGAACUGUAGGUGUCUGCUGCGGCUCAAUUCUUAUUCUUGGAACCAUAUGGUUCAGGCUCAAAAUCUUGGAAAAUGAGAACACCCUUGUGAGCCUGACAUAGCCAUCUUAUCACUGAGCCUGUCAUUCUGAUGUUCCAGGCAUUAGAAGAAACCACUUCCAAAGUGGUUUACUUUAACAAACAAUUCAAGAUUAAAGUCCUCGGAGCACUUCUUUUGAAUGCUCUAUCUUGCCACUUUAGAUCAGAGCUGGGAUGAAGUAAUUAACUCCAACUAGUAACUCAAGAUUUGGGUCUCUCAAGCAGCGUCUUGUGUUCUAAUAUUCUGCUUGCCUGUUUAGAAUCACAGCUGCGAUGAAUCUAACUGUCCAGGAAUUUCCUUUUAAUUCCCACUUUUAGCAUCCAAAAAUAAUCUGAAAAUUCUUAAAGACUUCAUAUAGUUCACAUCUGUCCAUUAUAUAAGUUGAUUCUGAAUGUCAUAAUGGAAUUUGUACUUCUUGCCAAAUUAGACCAAGUCAUGUAACAAAUAAGCAUAUUAGCAGUCCUAGUUUUAGUUUGGAUAUUAGUAGAUUAGAUCAAAAUUUAGUUAUCCAACAAUAAGGGUGUCAAAGCUUGAGGAUAGCCAGCAGCCACCUAUUUUUUGUACUAACGAGGGGUUGCUGAUUUGUUGAUGCUAAUUACUAACACCUAAAGACAAGUAUUCACAAUCAAUCCACUUGUGGAAUGGCAUUACAUUUGAGCACUGCAUUUGAGCAGUCAGUUUAUGUGGAUCAUGGAUACAAAGUUCUCCAAGUGAAAUGCAUGUUAGGCUAUAGAGGAAGGAAAUUCCAUAGGUUUAUCCAUUCAACAUUUUUGGGACUACAGGAUUAUGAUAACUUUGCAAUCAUGGAGAAGAUAUAUCCAUGUGCAAUUAUUGGGGUUAUGGUGCCCCACCUGAAUUUGGUGAGCCUUUAGUUUGUGAAGAAGAUAAAUACUCUCCAUAUUUGCCCAAUGCCCAUGCUUGAAAGCAUACCAUGUCUCCUGUCUCCUGUAUAGUGGCGUCCCAAACUGGUCGCUUUAUGCUUACGAGUGCAACUGUGAUACCUUAUCUAGUUAGGCUCAUGAUGCAUUAUUGGAUUCCUUUUUGCAAAGUCAAUGCACUUUGUAUAUUUAUAUCGCCAAAUUAUUAGNCCCCCUCUAUUCUCUCUGUGUCCCCUACAGCACCAGAAAGUGAUGUGCAGAGUUUUAUUUCGGAGUGGUUAAUUUAUUCAUAUGAAGCGAAUGAGUGAAAAAUUCGGCUCUUAUGGAACAUCGAAAAUAUCAGUGAAGAAUAGGUUGGCAAGAAAUUCUAAAUCAAUAGACCGUCCUCAAUCAACAUUUCUUCUUACCACAAGCACAAGGCUAAAUCCGACAUGUUGGACCUGUUAACUAAAUCAUUUUGUCCUCAAUCAAACUUUCUCCAUAUUCUUCCUUUUGUAAAACGAUACAAAGAUCAUCCCAGUUUCUACUAUGUUUCAUUCUAUAUAAUUUAAGAAUUAAGAAUCAUGUCAAAUAUUUAGAUCUCUCUUGCACUUGCUGUUGCUCAUGUCUUAAUUGCGCAGAGAAGGAUGGAGAAGUCAAGAACAGGCAUCUUUCUGUUGUAUCUGAAGUUGUAUCCUGGGCGAUAUGAGGCAAGUUAUUGUCUACUUAGUACCGAUGAUGAAUUGUCUACGUUAUCGUUGCUAAAAUUUUAUCGCGAUGCUGCAGAUAAAGUUUAUUGUUGAUGGUACCUGGAAAAUAGACCCGCUGCUUCCCACUGUGAAUAAUAACGGCAAUGAGAAUAACCUCCUAAUCGUUCCUUAACUCCAAGUUUGCCGACCUUGUAUGCAGUUUUGUAGACUCUUGUAGAUGAUAGUGUGACUAACACAACAUUGAUAAUCUGAUGUUUUCUUUCAUAACAGCAGCAUUAGAUUUGUGAAUUCUUAGUAGAACUCAUUUAAUUUUUAGUACAAUAGGGUGGUAGUCGUAUUUGGAUAUAUCUUCUUACAAAGAGCACUGAUGUGUGAUACUGUAGUCGCAACAUGUACUCUGUAAAACAAUUUUUCGUCUGAGGUAUAAGCAUCAGAAAUUCCUAUAUUUGUUGCUAGUUAACAAAUUUGGACUAAAGACAUGGUACUGCAUGUGCAUGUAAGUAAUUAAGCUAAAAUGUUAUGCAUGAGUUUGAGCUGCCUCUUUUAUUGAACAUAAAACAAAAUUUUGGGAUAGUACUCUAUCCAGAGAUAAAAAUAUCAAUUCGGAUGCUUUAUCGGCGAAAUUGAAUAUUCGGGCUUCAAUUGUGCUGCAUUCGAGAAAUUAUUCCCUGCACUUGAUUUGGUGUUCAAAUUUGAUUUUUGUCAUGUAAAUCUUUUGAAUAUCGCACAGAACACAUCAAAUGAGUUAAAUUUUUGAUUUUGUGGAGUCUAUCAUAGAGGUGUAGGACAUGUACUUAAAACCUUUUUCAUCACAUCAAGCAUUGGAGCUACGCACUUGAUCACAAAGGAUUUGCAUUAUACAAAAUAUAGUAUUCAUUGCUGAGUGUCGAUGUAUACAAAAUACAAAGCAUACACAACUUGACUCCCAAACCUGAUGCAGGUUGCUGAGUCCCUCACCAAACCCACUCCCAUUUCAAAGCUUUUGUUUCUCUACACAAAUCACUCACCAUUCCACUUCUACUCACCCUUCUAGUAAUUUAUAUAUGUAAUAUGUAAUCAUCCUUAUCACACUUUCUAUCCAAUCCAAGCAAAGUAACUUCAUGUAGCAAUAGUAGAAAUAGAUUCUGCUACACAAGUGUUGCGCACUCUCUCACUCUUGUUGCUAUUUGAGAGAAAAAAAAAAAAAAUUCCCAGGUUAUCCAACAACUUAGAAGAAGCCCCAUCACUACCAAUUUUCCUUGAGAAUCAUCUAGCUACUCUGCAUUACUCCCAUUUUGCUCAAGAAACUCACAGCUUUUAUGGAACUACUUUACCUUCCCCGCCCCCUUCUCCGGCCUCCACCUUCGCCGUCUCCGGCGUGCCCUUGUAUCUGUAGGAAUGCGCGCACACCACGAAAUACGCGAAAUUCACGGCGCCCAUACCGGCUAACACGUAGUAGAAGUAAUCCAACUUCCCUGUGUUUAUGUUGUCGUUCAGCCAGCUCGGCCGCCCGUCGCCUCCCGUGCUCUUGUGUAUCACGGCGACGAUGAUGCUGCUCAGGUAGCUCGCCCCCGCCACGCUGCAGUAGAAGAGCGACCCGGCGAUGGACUGCAUUUGCUCGGGGAACUGCCGGUUGUAGAACUCGAUCUGACCCACCGCGUUGAACGCCUCGGCGACGCCCAAGAGAACGAGCUGCGGCGCAAGCCACAGGGCGGAGAGGGGCGAAACGCCGCCGUGGGCGAUGGCCGAGCGCCUCCGCUUCUCUUCGACCAGUCCGGCCACCACCAUGGAGAAGACGGAGAUCACCAGGCCCACUCCUUGCCGUUGGAGCAAUGUUAUCCCGCUCUCGAUACCUGUUGAAUAUGAAAUAUUACGAUAUAUACAUGUACAAAUAUAUCUUCAAUAAAAACAACCUGUUUACACGACUAUCCCUCUCCAAAAGAGAUGUAUAUCGUACAUCCCACUCAUCUAAAUUUCAUUCUCUGGAUGAAUUGGUAUAAAUCAUACAUUACAAAAUAGAGUGUAUGGAUAGCUUUUUCUGUUGUGGAGUUAACUCUAAACAGUUUACGCUUUUGGAGGGAAACAAUAAAACGGCUUGUUUUACGUACCGGUGAUGCGUCUAGCGAGGGGGACGAAGAGCUGGUCGUAGAUGGGGAUGAAGAGGGUGAGGGUGAGCAAGGCGAUGGUGGCGAAGGAGCCCGCGGGGAUCUGGAAGUGCGGUCCGAGGUGGCGGUCCAUUGUCAAGGCCUGGAGCACUGCGAAGGUCCACUGCUGGGCCAAGGCCACGAAGCAGAUGAUGCCGGCGGCCCAGACGGGGAUGAUCCUGAUGAGGCACUUCAUCUCCUCAACCUGCUGCACGCUGCAGAGCCGCCAUGGGUUUGCGACGCUGCCGUCUUCUUUGACCUCGCCAUCGCAGACGAUCGCGGCCUUAUUCAACCAACUGAACAUAAGAAAAGCGAAAAACAAGACAAUGUGCGAGAGUUUAAGUUCACUUCUAUCAAUUUAUGUAAAAACAGAAAUGCAGAACACAAGUAUGCCGGAUCGUUGGUGUGGAUCGGUGGCGCUAAUUAUUAGAAAUACGCAACCAACUGUGGGUCUUGAUUGUGACUCAAUCCAACCAGUCUCACACCACUUUGAAUAUAAUUUGGUCCAAACUGAGCUCCCGCCAUUUCGAAUGUAACUCAGUUCAAUCUGGCUUUCCGCCGCAGGGCAGAAUGUUGGCCCCACUAAGCCAACAAAGGAAACUAUAUUGAUCAGCUUUUCCUAACCUGAACUGGAGUGUCAACGGAAGCCGCGUAAUCCGCGAGCCCUUAGCGAGCUGUCCGCGAUACAGCUUCGCCUCCUGCUCCGCCGCGUCCUCCGCUGCGGGCAGCUGCAGCCGCCUCUUCCUUAUCGCCGCGACGAAAGCGUGCACCACCCCGGAAAAGACGCUCCCUUCGGGCAGCACGUAGACGUACAGCCUCGUGCCGAGAAAGAAGAACGCGAUCGACAGCACCAUGAGGCACGUCGGAAUGCUGAACCCGAGUGUCCAGCUAUACGAAUCCUGGAUGUAGACAACGACGGUCAUGCCGAUCAGGACUCCGGCCGUGGAGGUGCAGUAGUACCAGUUGAAGUAGCUGGCGAGGCCGUGGCGGCCCUUCUCGGUCUCCUUGUCGAACUGGUCCACGCCGAAGGGCAGGCUGCACGGGCGGAUGCCGCCCGCACCGAGGGCCAGCAGGGCGAGGGAGAGGAUGAGCACGCCGAGCUGCGCGUGGGACGGGCCCGCGCAAUGCCCGGUCAGGGCCGUCGAUUGGCUGCAGCUCGGCGGGCGGAGCUGCCGGAUUGCUGAUGUCAGGGUUAGGAUCACCAUCCCCUGCAAUAAUUGUACUCUCUUGCUGCAUUAGCCAAAAAUUUGAUACUAGCUAGGUGGAAUCUUUGCAUGAAAGUUUUCAUUGGCUUUGCACUUAGUUCUAAGCUGAUUUACAAAUUGCAAGCAAAAAAGGGGAUCAAAUCACAUAAAGGAAUUAUUAUACUUAGUAACUACUAUCAAAAUCUUGGGGGGCUUGUUUGAAUGUUGGAACAAGUUAUCUCUCAAUAAUUUGUGUGAAACAAAGUUUUUUAUUUUUUUAGUGUGGUUGCAAAUUGGAAGAUCACAUUUAGUCCGUUCCAAGUUCUCGAGUUCUUGAUUUUCAGAAAUAUUGUGCACCGCAUACAACGUAAUUGAUCUUACUCCGAGAAAAUGACCUGAGGAUUAAGUAAGCUAUUCCAAUUACUCUAGAUGCGUGAAUAUCUUGUUCGGCACCUCUCUUUUAUUUUUUCAGAAAGAAUGCGGAAACUGAUAGACAAGUAGUAUGAUCGGAUGUCUAUAAUGGCUCAACUAUAUCUAACCUUCACAUCUUAUAUUUGGAACUAGAUAAAUCAUCUGGUAAGUGCAAUGCAUCAUUCCAACAACUCCUCAGUGCCCAUCAACAUUUUGUAUGUAAAGGUUAAAUGCAAUAUUGAAAGCAAAAGAAAAAAUUUUUAAAAAAAAGAAAAACAACCUGACACUACACAAGUUAUUACUUUGUAGAUUAUCUUAACAUCCUAACGAGCCUGUAAUGAACUAAGCAGACAUAUAUAUGCCGAUAUACUAAAAGAACAAAUCACCAUGAGAAACAACUUAUUACUAAAUAACUUAUUCUAACAUUCUAACAGAUUCUAAGCUAGUAUAGUUCAUGGGUAAUGUGGUCGAUCAGGUUCAGCAGAUGUUAUACCAUACAAGAGAAGCUGAACUAGCCUAAUAUGGAAGUAAAAUGCUACCUUGCAUCUUACAUUCUUAAAUUCUAUAGUUUAAAAAAUCUCUCAGGUUACCGACCGUCCCUAGAGCAAGUGGCAAAAGAUUUGAUGGUUGGUACCCGAGACCCAAAUUCGAAUUCUAGUUGAUUCACAUUUUCAACUAAGUUUAUUUUUAAAUGAAAUAAACGAAGCGGGUUGCAUGUUACCUAUCUCUCAAAAGAAAAAAAAGAAAAAAAUCUCUCAGGUUUCUCAGUAAAGACCAAAAAAAAGAAAGAAAAAAAAAAAAAUGGUAAGUCAUAGGAAUUCUAGGGAAAAAUAUUGGUGCACAGCUAGCAUUGCCUAGUAGGGAAAUAUUGGGGUUGGUAGGGAGAUUCAUACCAUGUGGUGUCCCCCAAUAAAUAAAGAGUGAUGAGACUUAAAGCAUUUGGUACAUUAUUUUGGGAGAGUGAACUUAAACUACAUUAUAAAGGCCAUAGAAUCUUUCCUAAAAGCAAUGAAAAGGACAUGCCUAAUUUAUUAGCUCAUUUAGGUUUCAAAAAAUGGAUAAGAGUAAUGAUAUUUCAAUUUUUUCCCCACUUUUAACAAGCCUAGGCUCACUUCUCUAUCUCCUCAUACCUCUUUGCUGCAUGAUCUCCAAAUUUCAGAUUUUACAUUUGCACCCUAAUUUUGUCCCCCUUUUUUUUUUUCCUUUUUUUUGCCGAUUUGGCAAACAGAAUUGGCUCAUUGAAUUUGCCGAUUCAGCGAUUAUAGCAAUAUUCUUCUUUUUUUCCCCUCCCAUUAUCUUUUAUCUUUGUCUUUGUCGAUCACUUCUUAGGAACACGUCGGCGGCGCUCAAAGCCAUGGAUGCUUCUACCGGGGCGGAAAAGUUGAAAAUUAUGCAUUAGGUUACUUGAUUUGAAGCUCGGUGAUUAUUUUUAUCUGUUUUACUUUCUUUUCUUUUUUUUUCUUUUAUGACGAGUUUAAAUUUUAGAGUUUGAUUAUUCUUUUUUUAAGUUUUUCGUGUUUGGGACCGUGUAUUAAUUAAAAUCUUCUCCUUUGUUGUUAGUUUGUUUAGGUUGGAAUUUUACUUACAAUUUUUCCCUACUUAAUAGAUGAUAUGCUCUUUAUUGCAUCCGUAAAAUUUGUAAUCAAGCUCUUCUUCAACGAAUUUCGCCUACGGACUUUAUUCUAUGAAAAUAAAAAAAGGGGAGAAAAAAAGUACAAAGACCCUCUAAACUUUGCUUGUUUUAUAAGUUAGCGCCUAAACUUUUAAUUUUGACAAUUUGACACCUUAAAUUUCAUCAACUAGGUCGAACAUGUCGCUCUCCUCAAUCAAAGUUAUCAAUUACACAAUCGUUUUUAAUUAAUAUUGCAUGCAUAAUCUUAUAAGAUAACAGAAACACAAAGUUCAUUAAUUUUUAUUGUGACUCGAUCUAAUCUAGCCUCGAUGUAGCCCUUUUAAGCCAACAUACUAAUCUAAAAAAUUUUCUUGGGAGAAAUAAGAAUAUAUUUCAAUCUUUAUAUCUAUCUCAAGAAAAGUUUUAAGACCAUUUGGAGGAAAACCUUUUUUUUUUAGAGAGAAAUGUAGCAUACUACUAUUCGCUUAAUUUAUUUUUUUUAAAAAUAAAUUUAGCUAAAAAUGUGAAGUAACUAGGUUUUUAACUUGAGACCUCACUAAUCAACCAGAAAGCUCUUUACCACUUGCGCUAAAAACGAUUGGUAAUUCGAGAAAAACUUGCCCUAGCUCGAAACGAGCCUUUCGUAGAGACUCUCGAAAGCUCUCCUCAAAUAAAAAACAUAUUCGCGGUCACUUCUAUCUCAAGAAAACUUUAAAAACUUUGGUUUUCUCGUCUACUUUGACCCGACCCGACCCGACCCGGCCCGUCCUGACCCAUCCUGACCAGUAUAAAUACACAAAAAACCAACCUAAAUGCCUGAAUUAAUGGUUGGGGCCAUAAAUGUUAGCCCCACAGCAAUUGUUUGAUGCAGCAACUUAUUAUUGUCGUGUUGCUACAAGAGGAAUCUAAUUAAUACUCACACCUAAUUACAGUGCCUACAACAUUAAGAAAUUAAUCUAUAUAAGGUGUGACGUGCACAAUAAUUAAUGUAGCUUCCUCGUUCGUACUUGUAUAAUUCAUUUAUUUAUCUCUAGAGAAAAAUUAUGAGCUUCGAUGCGUACCGCGAUUUCACAUGCUAUAUAUACGGUCCACGAUCUUAGUCAAACUAAGCAGCAUCAUUUAACUACACUUCUAUUUCUUUAUCUUCUUCAUUUAUUCAAAUCGGUCUAUUUUGGUCCUUUAAUUUUAAUUAGUAUAAACUAUUCUCUUCAAGCAGAGAAUUCAACAAAAAAAAAAAAAAAAAUCAACGCUGCGUCUAAAUCUUGCUUUAAAAUUCGUCCCCAAGAUGGUAUUCUACUAAUUAAGCCGUACAUAAAUAAUUUAGUAGAAUACGUUUCGAUACUACAAUUAAAAUAUAAAAUGUUAAAUUAUUGAUUCUGAGUGCGAAUCUCGAAAAAGAUUGGCAGUUAGGAUAGUUCUUGUAUAUAUUUUUUUGGGUUAAAUAUACAUAAGCUCUCUAUAAGCAUAUCAAAUAACAGAUAUAUUUCUAUAAAAUUUAACAUUUUAUAUUUAUCCUAACAAAAAUUCUAACAUUUUCAAAUAUAUUUCUGUAGUUAGGAUUCAUUCUGAUUAGUGAAUGAGAUAAAUUGAUCUUUUUAUUUCUUUUAUAUUAUUUGUGAUGGUAGAAAAGAAAAAGAUCGUUGAGAAUUUAAGAGAAGACAUUUUUGAAUAAUUCUAGCAGUUUGGAUUUUUGGAAGGUAUAUUUGUGAUGAUAAAAAUGUCAUUUUACUUAUCUUCUGUUAAAAAAAAAUUUACUAUUCGAUAUAUUUACAGAAAAUCAUAUAAAAAUUAAUUAUUUAUUUUUAUUUGAGUGCUAUCCGACGGCUCAUAUUCAAUGGGUCGAAACUAGUUAAAAUAGAAAGAGAGGAGGGGUGGGGGGGAGAAGAGAGAGUGUUUGUGUACCAGUAAGGAGGCGAAGGAGGCGUAGGCGAGGGUGCGGAAGCGGCCCCAGUAGGCGUCGGAGAGGAAGGCGCCGAGGAGGGGGGCGAAGUUGGCGGUGCCGUUGAAGACGUUGGCGACGUUCACCGCCACCAGCUGCUGCAUGUGGAAGCGCUUCACCAGGUACACCGUGAAGUUCGCCGUCAGCCCGUACGACGCCAACCUCUCGAACGUCUCGUUCCCUAUUUUUUUUAAUUAUUUUUUUUUUACAUUGAUGAUUAGAUCAGAUAAUCAAACACAAUCAUCGCUACAACAGCGUUUGAAAAUGCUUAUAUAAUUAUCGUAAAAUUUAUAGCUAUAAUUUAUAAUAAUUUUUAUUUAUUGUAAAAAAUUAUUACUACAACAAAAAAAAUUAGAAAAUACUACUUAACAUUCUAAAAAAAAAAAAAAAUGCAUGAUUUACACCCUUUCGUUCAAGAGUGUAAAAUUUUUUUAAAAUUUUAUAAAAGUAAAAAAAAAAAAUUUAUGAUACCAAUUUACGCAAACUAUAUAUUGAAGUGUACCGCUUGGCAUUACUCUUAAUUAAUUAAUAGUUAUCAAUAAUAACACUAUUUAUUGUUAGAAAACAAUAAAUUAAGUUUUAGUAGUGUUUGUACACUUCGAACCUAUGGGGCAUAUAAUUAAGUUUUAGCACCGUACGUACUGCUCCCAAAUUAACUAAUUAGGCCGUAAAAAGCUUUCCAAAGAGGAGGAAAAUUAAUUAAUUAUCAUACACGCUAAUUAAAUAAAUAAACCCCUCAAAAUCAAUUAUGUAUACAUAGAUAGAUAGAUAGAUAGAUAGAUACAUCCAAAUAUAGUUAAAAUUAAUGGGCUCAAACCCACCCAUCUUUAGGUUUUUCAUCAGGAAAAACUCUGAAAAAAUUAAGUUGUAAAACUUAAUUUUGAAACUACACAAAGUAUAUAUAUAAUUGGGGGGAGGGGGGUCGUCGCAUAGAUAAAUUGGUGGGAGCGCACGCACCGAUGAUGUAGGGCAUGCAUUUCCAUCCCCCGGGCUCUCGCUUCUUCGCCUCGACGUCGACGUCGACGUCGACGACCCCUCCUCCUUCGACCAGCUUGGUCUCGUCGGAGGACUCGUUUCCCAAGAAGGGGGAGCAACUCACGCAAUCUACGAAGCUCCGCAUAAGACACUUCAUGCCACCCAUUUUGUAAUAAUAUUUCCUGAUCCCCCCACUCCAAUCCCCCCCUUCUCUCUCUCUCUCUCUCUCUCUCUCUCUCUCUCUCUCUCUCUCUCUCUCUCUCCUCGAUCGCCUAAAGAGCGAGUGAGCUCUACUCCUUGUUAUAUAUAUAUAGAGAGAGAGAGAGAGAGGGGUAGACCGGUAUAUUAUCAGUAGUACAGAGGCUUCCGUACUACUAAGUUAUUUUUAAUGAAAUAGUUUCUAAAUCGACAAUCGGCUCUGCUAUAUUUGAUCUAGACUAUUGAAAAUAUUUGAAAACUAAAUUUCAUAAUUUUUUUACAUCAUUUACUUAUCAAACGAAUAGUCUAAAAAUGGACGGCUUAAAAUAAAAAUUUUAUAAAAAAUAAUGAUAAAAGACUUGAAUUUAAGAUCGAGAGGUACUGUUCUUGCUUUAAGUAGUAAAAAAAAUUUUUGUAAAAAUUUCAUCAGAUUUGAAUUGCUUUACACCGUUAAAUUCACAAAUACAUCAUAUCGAUCAUUAAAAUUGUCAAUUUUGAGACAUUUUGAUUACUAGCCAAAUGAUUUCGAAAAAUUAUAAAAUUUAGUUUUCAAAUACUUUUAAUAAUUUAGAUCAAGUCUGACGGAGCCGAUCGUUGAUUUGGAAGCCGUAUUAUUAAAAACAACUUGAUAGCACGAAAACCUUCAUGUUACCAUAGUAUACCAGCCUAACUCUCUCUCUCUCUCUCUCUCUAUAUAUAUAUAUAUAUAUAAAACGAAUGAAAAUAAAAUGAAAAAGGAGUGUGAAAAAUGAAGAAUGAAAAAUGAAAAAUGAAAAGGAGGGGUGUUUUAUUUAAUUUAACUACAUAGAGAGAUUGAGGGACGUUUUUUCAAAAUAAUUUUUAAAAAUUUGUAAAAUAAUCUUUCAAAAUUAUAUUUAGAAAACUAAAACUCCUUUCACUAGAUAGGCGACAGGAUGAAGUUUUUCUAUAAAGACGACGGUGAACGAUUCACCGUCUUUCUAAUGUAACUAAUGAAAACGAUGAAUGAUUCACCGCCUUCACUAAGGGUGAACCAUUCAUCGUAUUUAGUGCAACUUUACAUCCCUCAGAAAUUUUCUUAGUCCUGAGGUCAGAUUUUUUCUAAGUCUUCGACUAGGUCGAAAUAUAGAUAAGACAGUAAAUCAUUAACCGUCUUCAUAAAGAAUGUAAACGGUUCAUCGUCUUUAGUGCAAACUGCUCCAACCCUCUUCCUCAAGUCUUCAAUAAUAAUUUUUACAAGUUUGGAACAAAAAUUUUUACGAAAAUAAAAAUUUCGACAAGAAGCAUAAAAAGACGACGAAUGAUUCACUGCCUUCAUUCACCGUUUUUAUUAGUUAUAUUAGAAAGAUGAUGAAUCAUUCAGCGUCUUUCUGCCUUCAUAGAAAAACUCUGCCUGGCAUCUACGCGCUGAAAAAAUGAUUAAUUUUUUAAAUAUAACUUUAGAAAAAUUAUUUCGUAAAUUUUAAAUUUUAAAAAAUUAUUUUAUAAACAGUCUGAGAGUGAGAGAUAGAGUCUGAGAGUGAGAGAUAGAGAGAGGAGGGGAGGACCGAAGGAGUGGGUGGGAAAAGGGGUGGGAGGAGAGAAGGGCCACGUGGGUGACGCGAAACCGCGUUGGAACACAUCUAAGAAGGGGACAAUCAAUGUUUUCGUGCAUGCACCCGGUCCACCACGUCAGCUAAUUAUUUUUAAAUAUUUGGGGUAAAUUACGUGCCCUCAAAUUUUAAAAAUAUCAUAGGUGCCCGUUCCAAAUUGUCGACCUCUCAAAAUUUAUAAACUAUAUCAUAGGUAUAUUUUUUUUGGAAAAACUUUAAAAAUUUUUCUUGUGGUUUUAAUUAUUUUUACUUUAAUAUUCUAUGGUUUAAAAUAUAUCAUGUUAGUAGCACGUGGUUUCCUCACUUUAUCACUUUAGUAUCCUGUGGUUUAAAGUAUAUAAGUUAGUACCCUGUGGCUUUGUACUUUAUCACUUUAGUACCAUGUGGUUUUAAUUUUGCAUCAAGUUAGUACCCUGUGGUUUUUUAAAUCACAGGAUACUAAAGUGAUAAAGUGUGAAACCACAGGAUACUAAAGUGAUAAAGUGCAAAACCACAGGGUGCUAACUUGAUACACUUUAAACCACAGGAUACUAAAGUGAUAAAGUGCAAAACUACAGGGUACUAACUUGAUACACUUUAAACCACAGGAUACUAAAGUGAUAAAGUGAGAAACCACAGAAUACUAACUUGAUAAACUUUAAACCAUAGAGUAUUAAAAUGGAAAAGUGUGAAGCCACAGGAGGAGUUUUGGAAGUAUUCCCUUUUUUUUUAUGUCAAUGUUUGAUAAAAAAUAUUUAGUUAUUACUGGUUAAAAAUUUUACUUGAGUUAAAAUAUGUAGGCUAAUUAUAUUUAAUAUUUAUCAAAAUAAUUGAUCUCUUACAAUGGAAAAAGUUUAAAAGUACUCUGAUAUCAUAUAAAAUAAUUAUUUAUUUUUGAAAUUGUAAGCGGCUAAUUAAUGAUAUUUUUAUAUUUUAUAUUUAACAAGAGUUAUAAAUUCUAUGAGAAUAUAAUUAAUAAAUCAAUGCUAACAAACUACUUUUAACCAAUUUAUAAAUAAUCUUUUCUUGUUAAAAUUACACUCCAUCCUAACUUUAAUAUAUUUUUUAAAAUAAAUUAUUUAAAAAAUUUAUAAAGAGUAAAACUUAUAAAGUGUUGCUUGAGGCCAAAUUAAAUUAUUGAAAAUAGUUUCAAGAGAAAGGAGGUUUCUAGUUAGAAAGAAAUAUUUUAUUUGGUGUCUAUUUAAGUUGGAAAAAAAAAAAUUUCUAGCCUAGUGAGAGAUUGCACAUGUAUUUAGUUUGCAAUUUGUGUUUUCUUGGGGACAAAAAAAUGGUUUAAAUAUAUCUUUGGUCUUCGAAUUAUGAGGUUCGUGACACUUUAAUUGACAAGCAUUAAGUUACUACAAUUUCUAGUUCAAAUUUUAUAAAUUAUUAUACUAAAUUUCAUAAUCCAAUCUAGUUGACUAAAAAUUUAUGUGUUAUUAAUGUAAAAAUAAUGUCAAAAUUUAGUCAACUAAAUUGGAUUAUGAGAUUUGAUUAUAAUAAUAUAAUUUAUUUAAUAGUUUUAGAACUAAAAGUGCGACUUACAAAAAAGAAAAAAAAUUCUGAUAAAUGAAAAUAAAAAAAGAAAUAAGUGAAAAACUUCUUCUCAGAGCAAUCAAAUUACUGUCUAAGGGUCUGUUAAUUUGUUUCACCGAAUGUAAAGUUUAUAUUAAACUAGGCUUUCAGGUGAACUAGAGUUUAGAUAAUUUUUUUUUUUCAUCGUUUAUUUCUACAUUAUUAAACUGAAGCGUUUCUAAUUUAAUUAUUUAUUUGACAGGAAGUAAUGACGAAAAAAUUAAAAUUCAAUAUCAUUAUUUUUUUUGCCCGUAAUCGACCGACUUCCCUAUGACAUGGUUCGAAGUCAAGUAUUAUAUUUUUGGAGAAUUUGCACUUCGACCUAAUGUGAAGUUAUAAUAAACUAAACAAUAAAAGCGAUUAUUUACAGUCGAAAAUUAUAUCUUUUCUUUUUUUUUUUAAAUAAAACCAAAGUAAAUCAUUUUCUGAGGUGGUGGACUACCUCCAUAGACUGUAUUUUUUUUUUUUUUUUUUUUUUAACUCUUUGUCGGAGAAACAAACGCACCAAAGUAAUUAAUUCAUUUGAUGAUGAUUUCGCCUAUGCUAACUAAUUGUUGUUGUUUUUUUUAAAAUUUUUAUUUUUCCUCAAUUGCGUCGACUCCAGCUGGCGUCAUUUUUGGAUGCUUGCGCUUCUGCCCCUGCCUUUCUGUACGGUUGCACGCCAAACGUUCUGAUCCUGUGCGGCAGAUCUUCAAAAAGUGCUCAGAAAAAAGAAAGUUCAAUUACUGUCUGUACUGCCAAUUUAAGGAGAAGUUUUAAUCUCUGUACCUGCAGUUUGACUGACCGACCAAAAACAAAAAUUUUAAAAAACACUCCAGAUAGCUCACACAACUUUCGAAUUGACGACCGAUUCUGAUAAAUUUGAUCAAGUACAUUUAAACUAUUUAGAACUAAAUUUUGUAAUUUUUCAAUAUCAUUUAUCUAGUUAUUGAAGAACUCAAAAUCAACAGUUAAAAAAUAAAAUUCUCACAAAAUGUUAUGAUGUAGCACUAAAAGUUUGGAUCAAAGAUAUUAAUCUUGUUGUAAAUAGCAUAAAGAAUUUUUUAUCAAAAUUUUAUUUAAUUUAAAUACUUCUACACUGUUAAAUUUGCAAACGGCACACAUCAAUCAUUAAGAAUUGUUGAUUUUUGAAUACUUUUGAUCACCAGGUAAAUGAUAUCGAAAAUUCACAAAAAUUAUUUUCUAAAUACUUUAAACACGCUAGAUCAAAUAUAACGGAGCCGAUCAUCGAUUCGAAAGUUCCAUCAUAACUAAUGGUUUAGAAGUAUGGAGGCCUCCAUACUCCUAAUAACACAUAAGUCCUACUCCUGUAAUUUUAUUUUUUAUUAAUUUUUUGUCGGUCCUUUACUAACUUUUCCGAUACAUCAUUUAGAAAAAAACUUUAGAUAUUCCUUUCUAUGGUUUACUAAUAUUUCACUUUAGUACUCUAUUGUUUUAACUUAUUACUGAUUAAGCGCAAGAGUUAUUGGAGGGAAUAACAGAAAGAGAAAAUAAAACUACAGAGUAUUAAAAUAAUACAGUUUGUACGUUAUAAUACCAAAGUAAGAAUGUCCUAAACUGUAGGGUGUUAUUCGAAGUUUUUUCUUAAAUUGAUAUAAAGUGUAAUUGUCUUUUACGGGUUCAAAAAUAAAUCAUCGCGGUUGGCAAAUAUAUUUGGUAGCAUCUUUUGAACACCCAAGCUCAAAAAUAAAUCAUCGCGGUUGGCAAAUAUAUUUGGUAGCAUCUUUUGAACACCCAAGCUAAUAUUUCGACUCCUAUUAAUGUCUAAUUUAAUAGUGCCGUGACUAAAUGUAUUAAUUUUACUUUUUAAAGGACCUACAAAAUUAAAAUGUACUAAUAUUUUUUUCAUUAAUAAUAUAAAAUUGCGCUCGCAAUUAUCACAUAUAAAGGAGUAAUGACGUCCUUCUCCGAUUGCAAUGCGGGCGUAAAUUUUAUAAUAUUAUUGGAGAAAAGAUUAAAAAUAUUUUUAUUUUAUGUUUUUGAGUCUUACAAAAAUAAAAACAAUACUUUUAUCAAACUCGCCCUAAGCUUAGAGAUAAAUUAAUUCAACUUUAGGAACAGAACUUGAUGCCGCUUCAGAGGAAAGUCCAAAUUAAAUGGAAGGAAGUUUUGGACAUUUUGGUUCUAUAGUGUGAGGCUACUGUGCUUUUAAAAACACGGAGCCUUCUGUACUUUCAGGUCGUUUUCAAUAUUGUGACUUUCGAAUCGUCGAUCGGCUCCGUUAAACUUGAUCUAGAAUAUUUGAAGUACCUAUAAAAUAAAUUUUAUAAUUUUUCUAUAUCAUUUGCCUAGUGAUCGAAGGGGCUCAAACUCAAUAAUUUUAAUGACCGUAGUGAGCUGUUUGCAAGUUUAACGGUGUAGAAAUAUCCAAAUCACGUGAAAUUUCAAUAGAAAAUUCUUUACAGUAUAUAAAACAAGAUCAAUAUCUUUGAUCUAAAAUUUUAAUGUCAUAUUAUUACGUUUUGUAAGAUUUUUAUUUUCAGCUGUUGAUUUUGAGCCCCUUUGUUCACUAAGCAAAUAAUAUUAAAAAAUCGCAUAAUUUAUUUUUUAGGUACUUUAAAUACUCUAGAUCAAGUUUAACGGAGCCGAUCGACGAUUCGAAAAUCGCAACAUGGUAAACGACCUGAAAGCACGGAAGGCAGCAUAGUAGCCUCACUCCUUAAAAUUUAGUUUAUUUAUAUUUUUUAGGAAAAACUUCAAAUACUAUUCUUGUGGUUUCACUUUUUUUUACUUUAGUACCCUAUGGUUUAAAAUGUAUCAAGUUAGUACCUUGUGGUUUCUCACUUUAUCACUUUAGUACUCUGUGGUUUAAAGUGUAUCAAGUUAGUACCCUGUGGUUUUGCACUUUAUCACUUUAGUACCCUGUGGUUUCGCACUUUAUCACUUUAGUACCCUGUGGUUUAAAAACUACAAGGUACUAACUUGAUACAAAAAUAAAACCACAGGGUACUAACUUGAUACAAAAAUAAAACUACAUAGUACUAACUUAAUACGCUUUAAAUCACAUGGUACUAAAGUGAUAAAGUAAGAAACCAGAGAGUACUAACUUGGUACACUUUAAACCAUAGGGUAUUAAAAUGAAAAAGUGUGAAACCGCAAGAGAAGUUUUUGAAGUUUUUUCUAUUUUUUAUUCAAACUUUUUAAAUUAUAAGGAUCAAAUUUUAUAUGCUAAUUUGAUUAACUAAAUAUUAAUAUUAAUGCUUAGCUAUUAUGGAAGUGAUUUGACGGUGCUCUGAUUGACAACACGAUAAACAAUUUAAAAUACUACAUCACUCACAUAUCAGUGAUAUGUUAAUAUUUCGUCAUUUAAAUUAAACUGCUGAAUUUAAUUAUAACAAUUUAUAAAUUUUUAAGAAUUAAAGUGAAAACUAAUAAUAUAAUUUAAUCUAGAGCAGCUGGAUGACACCCUUCAUUAGAGUUGCAUAAGUAGGUGCAAAUAAAAUACUAAAUUACAGAAAAUUCUUUUGUCAAUAUUUUUUGUUUUUUUCUUAGUGUCAUUCAAAAACUAUACCUUACCUUCUUAAAAAAUAAAAAAUAUUCACUUUGACCCCCACCAUCAUUGUUCCAUUAGGUAUUCGUUUAUAUCCUAUUUUGUAUAUUCAAAAUAUUUCUGAAACCCUCCUCUUUCCUUAUCCUCAGCCGCACUACCUCGCCUUCCGCUGUGCCGGCUCGCCCUCUCCCAUUUUUUUGUUCAUGCCCACACGCAAGCCCGAUCGCUUGCCUCCGCCACCUCACCCUUGCCCUCGCCCACCUCUCCGUCCAUGUCGACCCCAAAUAAGAUGAGAGACAAUUUGAUCAUUUUGUCGCAACGUACUCUCUCGUGAAUAUUUUUUAUUUUUUUUGAGAAUAACUAUAGAUUUUUGAAUGGCAGAGAAAAGAAUAAAAAAAAAGGUAUUGAUAGAAAAAAUUGUCUAUAAUUUAGUGUAAAUAAAAAUGGUGGCAUUAAUUAAUUUGUUACAACAUUUGCAGAUUAAAAUUACAUAAAAAAGGCGACAGUUGCCAGAAUCGUAGGCAUUCUUCAUGGGAAAGCCUUGUCUGACCCGGAAUUAUGUUCACACAGAGUGAUGACUGAUGAGGCCCAGCGCACAACAACGACUUUUUUGGACACAUCUAACUUUAUUUGUAUUUAUUUAGGCUUCGUAUGGCUGGAGAUUGCAUUGAGUGCGGUGAGAAAGUACGUUGAAAAAAUAUCUUAUUUAUUUCCGUACGUAAUAUUGUGAACCCCAAAAGAUCGAGUGGUUUGAUGAUUUCCCACCUAUGCAUCUACGAGAGAAAAGGGAUUUCCAACCUCCUGCUCUUCAGAUUAAGCCUUAAUUUGAUAAUAAUAAGAUGGGUAAAAAUAUUAUUUUUAUAAAAUUAAACUAGAAGACUAUAUAUCAAUAAUAUUUAAGUUUUUCUGGUAUCGAUUUUUUAGCCGUUAGAUCUACGCUUUGAUCAAUUUCAUUUUUUAAAUUAUAAUAUUCAACUAAUCACUCACUAAAUUCUAGACGAUCACUAUCAACCUAAUCCCAUAAUUUUUCAUUCAAGGAUUAAAAAAUCGAUACAAAAAGAGUUCAAAUACUAUUAAUAGUAUUCCGGUCCAAUUCUAUUUUUAUAUAAUAAAAUAUGUAAAAAAUUUAUAAGGGCUUAUAAUCUUUCGCCCUCCAAUGCUUAAAAGUUACGGGUGCAAUCGCCAGAGAUGGCUCCAUACUUCUCCGGCCGCGGUUGCACGCAUCACAAUUUUAUAGUAUAAAAAAAAUUAAAAUUUUUUUUUAUUUCUAUAGUUUAGAAAUAAUUCUUUUAACCAUUAUAUUAUCAAACUAGGCUUAAAUAUGUUGUAUAAUAGCUUGUGAAGGAGUUUUUUGGGGGGUUGGAACUUCUAGCAUGUCUGUUUCUCUUGUGGAGACACCAUAUGUUUUAAAUUUGGCUGAAUUCAAUCAGCAAACAGUAAGUAAAUUUAGGGCAUAUUUGGUUUGAAUGAUUUGAGGUUUGAAAUAAGAAUCGGAAUGAUUAAUUUCUAUUGUUGAUGUCUGGUUUAAGGGAUCGAUAUUCUAAUUCUCAUUCUGGGGGAAUCGAAUCCACCCAAGAUGAGGUACGCGGAAAUCAACUUUGAUUCCGAGAAGAAUUAAGAAAAGAGGAUUUUUUUUCCAUUAACAAUUAUGUUAAUUUAAAUACUAAUCUACAUUUAAUUUCAAAAUACAAUGUAAUCUUACAUUUGAUUUUGAAAUAUGGAUUCAAAAUUAAGUUUUUAAUUUUUAAGUUCACUUUUUAAAUUCUAAUAUAAGUUUGACAUUUGACUUAGGUUCUAAAUUUAAAUAUUUGACUUGAACUUGAAUUUGACAUAUAAAUUUAAAGACUAGAGUCUUAAUUUAGAUUCAAUUUUUUUUUUUUUUUUUGAGAAUAGGUAGCACGCUACCUGCUUCGUUCAUUGAAAUUUAGAUUCAAAUUUUGAUUACAAAUUUGCACAGUAGAUUUAAAUUUGAAUUAAAAAUUUAACUUUUUGAAUUUUCAUUUGAAUAUAAUUCUAAUUUUGAUUCUUCUUAUGAACCAAACCUUUCGAUUCUGAUCCAUUUCUAUUCCUAUUCUGAUGUCGAUUUCCAUUUUGAACCCCACGUGCUCAAUAAGUUAAUACGAGUGAAAGUUCGAAACAUUUCAUUACAGUAAACUUAGCUAGAAAUAUGAAUCAAAUAGGAUUCGAAUUUGGGACUUCGGAUACCAACUACCAAGUCCUUUGCCGCUUGCGUCAGAAACAGUCGGCAAUAAUUACAAGCUUUCUAUGAAAUAAUUAUAAGUUUGCAUGUGGAAAUCCAGUGGGAGAAUCUUCCAAAGCAUUAAAAAUUUUAGGAAUAUUUCAAUUCAGACAGUAUUUCCAAGAAAGCUCUAGCAGGGCAGUGGGGACAGAUCAGUUAAUGAUUUCACACAAUUUAAAGCAGAAACCAAGAAUGGAAACACUGUGAGAGGUAUACUGCUGGUGUAAAAGAGGAUAUGAAAUUGAAGCUCACUUUGGAAGCAUCUGCAUUAGCAGGUAUGUGAUUGUUUUGGAAUACUCAUCUAAAAGCUAGUGGGGUGGGCUUCAUCUCUCUUGCAUUUGGGAUAAGCACCUGUUUGGUUCAGCUGAAUAGUAUAAUGUUAGAUGUGUCUCCAAAUUUAGUGUUCGAUUUUAAUUUGGACCGCUCCCCCCGAUUUGUCAAUAAUUUUGCUGUGCGAUAAAUUUGGAAAAAACUUUGCGAUGGAAAAAUUCAACAAUUUUACUGUGCGAUAAAUUUGGAAAAAGAACUUUGUGAAGAAAAAACUAAAUGUUAUUGGUAGGUAGAGGUUCGAGCCUGUAACCCACCGUUGACAUCGGACGGGGGCUGCAGUAGGCUCUACCCCCGUAGUAUGAAUUGGAUCCGAUAACGAAGAAACCCGUUAAGAGUUUUUUUUUCUUUUUUUUACCCUAGGCAUGAAAUAUCGUAUUGUACUCACAAACUUUGUACUCUCCUUUUUUCAUAGUAAAAUUCUCUCCUUCUUCGCUCGUGAUUUUUUUUUUUUGUGCAAAAAAAUUUCACGUAAAUUUUUGUGUUUCAUUUUAUUUUCUAUUUGUGAUUUAUUGCGUUCGCCGUUCUUCGUUUUUGUUUGUGCACUCGUCAUAACAAUAAAGUAUAUUUAAAAAAAAAAAAUUACUUUUGAGCAGAAGCGGAGGUUGUAACGAAAAUACCUACUUUUGAGCUGCAGAAUCUCGUUUCUGAUUUUCAUUAUAGAAAUUUAAAAUUUUUUCCAUUUCGAUAGAGCCAAGAGGCCAGGUCAAGCAAGCCUCAAAUUCGAGACAAAAUGAAGAUUUUAUAUAUCGAUUCAGAAAUAGGUCUAAGGUCUAGUUCUGAUCAAAUUCUAAUUUUUCUAAAUAGAAUUAUUUUGAUGCUUUAGAGUAGUCAAAAAAUUUGAAAGUGCUUUGGAGCUUCCACUCUACAAAUUGAAAGGUUUAAACUACUAUAUUGUAAGAGAAAGGAAGUUUGUAAGUGCUUUAAAAUUUUUUGAACUUUCUCAUGCAUGUAUUAAACCUUCUAAUUUUAUUUUUUUAUUUUAUUUUAAGUGUGAGUGAAGAUCAUCUAACCUAUUAGUGGUUGGCCUUGUCAAGCUUGAUUCAUUUAGAUCAUCAAUCCAACUACAUCUUGUCAAUAAUGACUAGCUAUUGGAACCAAGGUAACCUCAUCCAAUAAUUUUUAUAAGUGACCAGGAUAAAGUACAAUUGAGAAAAGACCCUUUAUCAAAGAUAAGGUGCUUUUAGAAGCACUAAUUUCAUGGUGCUUUUAGCUUUUUAACUAUCAAAAGAUAGGGUUUCUAAAUCCCCAAUAAAGGAUGAUUCAUAGAGAUCUAGCUUUGGAUAACCAAUUAAGCACACAUAAAAUGAGAGAGCAUCAAAGUUGUAGUGAGAACAUGGAAAGUUUGAUGCAGGAAGAUAAAGAGCCGACAAGGGAGAGAAACUCAAGAUAUCUUUUUGGAACAAAUAUGAUCACUCCAAAAAGUAUACAUCAAUAGAAUCAAGAUUGAAAUGAUUUGUUAUCUUGGAGCAUUGUGGUGUCACCAUCUGGUAAUUUGUGUAAAUCUUUUUGAUGGUAUAUAUAGUUUUUAUUUUUAAUGAGAGAAAAAUAAUAUGUUACUUAUUUUGUUCAGGCUUUUUAGAAAUGAACUUUGAUAGAGAUAUGAAGAAAUUAGACUAUAUCAACCACUAAGUUUUUAGCCAACUAGCUUGAUUGGGAGUGAAAAAAGUCGUGCUUUCAAAUAGCAUCAAUUUUACUACUAUCUACACUUGAGAGCGAGCAUAUCGCAGUUACAAAUUUUUUUAAAUCCUUCACUCUCUUCUUAAGUCUUUGCUCUAAACCAUUCAUUCGAGCACAUACUCAGACGGAUAAAAUAACUAUAUCUACUUAAAUUCAUACGAUCCAAAAGCUUAAAUCAGUAAAUUUAAAAAUAAAAUAAUGUACUUAACUCUUUUCGUUUUGUAAUAAUUAUUCAUGUCUAUUUGUUUGUAAUAAGAGAACAACUACCAUUGACCUUUAUAAACAAAAUUUACCCAUCAAAACUAAGGACCUUUACAAAACAAGUGGUGGGUCAUGUGAAUUAUAAGGAACGUUGUUAUUUUUAAGUUGACUAAUAAUGACUCCCUGUUAGCUGUCAACUCGAUUAGACAUUUGAUGCUUCGGUGUGAGAAGAAUAUAUAGCUUGUUUCAACAAGCGUAUCUUAGCCCUUAAAUUUAAUUUUUUUUUUUUUGGGUCUGGCUUGGAAGUUCAUCACCUCACUUCUAUAGCUUAAUUUAUUUCUUUAAUGAAUGAAACAGAUAGCAUGCUAUAUUUUUUCUUUUUUUUUUAAAAAAAGUUACCCAUAUGAGAGAGAGAGAGAGAGAGAGAGAGAGAGAGAUAGAGAAUGUAAGAUCUCUCCUUUUUUUUUUUUUCUUAUUCAUUUCAUGUGCAAAUUCCAACAUUAAAAAAAAAAAAAAAAACAAUACUAAUAACUGCCAAUCAAAAUACACCCCUUCCUUUUCACUAUAAAGGUGCUUCUUUAAGCAACUACAUAACCUUAAUAACAGCAUCAGAAAUUUGCUAGACAAGCUCAGAUCCCACAGUCAGGUCAUCUAACUAGCCCCUUUGUAUCUGUACCACUUUGCGCAGAUCACAAAAUAAACCAAGUUUAAGACCCCGAUCGCCGCGAUUAACAAGUAAAAGAAGUCCAAUCUCCCCUCAUUAAGAUCCUGGGCCAACCAAUUCCUCCCCCCCUUCACUCCUGUGGUCUUGUGAACAAUUGUCACCAGAAACCCACUCAAGUAGUUCCCCCCUGCCAGGUUCAAAAAGGCCAGAGACCCAGCCACACUCCUCAUGUGCUCAGGGAACUCCUUGUAGUAGAACUCUAUCUGGCUGAUCAAGUUAAAUGCCUCAGACACCCCCAGAAUCAUCAAUUGUGGCACCAUCCAAAGGCUGUGCAUUGAGGAGAUUGCUCCCCCGCCGGCCGACAGGCCGAGAGUCGGGUGGUGCAGCGCCACGCUCCUCCGCUUCGCCUCGAUCGCCGCCGACAUGAUCAUCGCGAUGAUCGAGAGGAAUAUCCCGAUCCCCAUCCGGUGGAGGAGCGAGAUUCCGUCCUCUCUCUUCGUCAUCCUCCGGAGCCAGGGCACCAGCAGGCGGUCGUAGAUCGGUAUCCAUAUCGUCUGCGCCAGCAUGGAGAACACGGUGAACGAGGCGGCGGGGAUCUCGAAGUGGUCGUCGCCGAGGUGCCUGUCGGACUGGAGGGCCGACAGGACGACGUAGGUCGACUGCUGCACGACCGCGACGUAGUAGAUUAUGCCGGUCGACCAGACGGGGAUGAUUCGGAGCAAGCAUUUCACCUCUUCGACUUGCUGCAAGCUGCAUAGCUUCCACGGGUUCGCGGCGAAGCCGUUCGGUUUUAUUUCGUCGGCGGGAGUUAUGAUCGCAGCUUUGUCGAGAAAUCUGGAUCAAUUAAAGCGUAGCAGAAGAGAUAUAAUCAGAUGUUUAAUAGAACAAAAAUAGAAACGUAUUCUGCCAAUGACAAUUUAAGCCGGUUGGCUUAAUUUGAAAAUGAUGUGUGUACGUAAAACCCUUGAAUUAGGGCUUAGAGCAUAUCCGGGCCAAUUUAAAAGCCCAUUUCUAAAUACGUUGCCGCGUUUUAUAUUACUCCAUUGCAUCCCCCUCUGCGUUUGAGUGGUGGGCAACGAAAUCUUGUAGUUUAAGAGGUACAAUUUUCAAGGGGGUAAAUUGAAAAUAUUGAUAACUUGAGGGGGUUUCGUGCAAUUUAGCCCGCAAAAACUGGUUUGCAUUCUGUACCUGAACUGGUCAGUGUGUUGAAGCUUGGUCACUAGUAAGCUAAGAUGUGGUGGAUCAAAGAGGGCCUGUUUUGGAUCCUUGGGCUGCUUCAGUUUUCGCUUGCUAAUGCACGCCGCGACUACCUGCACGAUGCUCGUGAACGGGCUCCCCUCAGGCCGGACCUUCACGUAGAUCCUCGAGCCCAUGAAGAAGAUCACGCAGGCAAUGAACAUGAGGAUGGUGGGGAUGCCGAGGCCGAUGGACCAGCUGACGGCGCUCUGAACGUAGAUGAUCACGGUCGCGGAGAUCAUUAUCGCGAAGGUGAACGUGAAGUAGUACCAGUUGAAGAAGCUGUUGAUGCCCCGCUUGCCCGACUCCGUGUGCGGGUCGAACUGGUCUGCACCGAACGGCAUGCUGCAGGGCCGGAUGCCGCCCGCGCCCACCACCAAGAAGGCGAAGGCCGCGAAGAGGACCGACGUUUGAUACGGAGUUGCACGAAGGCACGUCGCACCUGGGGCGCAGCUCGGGGGAUGCAAGCCGGCAACGGCGGCCGUGAGGGUGAGUAUGAACAUGCCCUGCAACAACAUAGAGUCUUUUCUUGUAAGAACCAAAUUUAUAACUCUCAAUUGCGACUCAAACUUACAAUAAUACCCUAAAUGCUUCUGCCCAGUUAUUAAUUCUAAUGUGUUCAUCGUUUAUAAAUCUCUCACAUUUCAUAUACUUUCUCUAUUUUAGAUUCGAAUAUUCUCGUCAAUUUGAUCAUACACAUAGCCUAAUAUUAUCGGACAAUAUGACGCGUAGCUCACAUUUUCGAUUGGUGAAUCUCUUUUGAUACUAAUUAUAAUGACCUAGCCCAUUAGUGCUAAUAACUCGUUGGGUAUAAACUACUAUUCCAAACUAUGUUAAAUUCAGUUAUUAAUUCUGAUGUGUCCGUCAUAUAUGUAAGCUCCUUGCACUCCAUAUUUUAGUGCUAGUCAUUAAACAUGAUUACUAACAUGCAUUUAUAUUAGGUUAAACUUAAAUUUAUAUUGCUAUUCUCUUUUUCCCUUUUGAAAUUUAUAUAGAUAUUCCUUUUUUUUAUUUCUCUUUUAUUUGUCACAAGAAUUAGCUCUUAAGCUCUAGAACUCAAAUUUUUACUGAUCUUAGUAUAAGUACAUUUCAUAGAACGUUUUUGGAAACAUUUAUUAUAGUAAUCUGCAAAUUAAAAUCUAAUUUGUUAAAUAUAUUUUAUGAUACUCAAAAUAUCUAUAUAUUAAAAAAUUAUAAAUAUUAAAGAACGAUUCUUAGAUAUCAAACAAUGAUUUUUUUUAUAACGUUAAUUUUGACAACUACAGGCAUUACUUGAUGCCAAGGUAAUAAAUUUUUAUUUUUUUUUUGUUUAUAUAUAUAUAUAUAUAUCUUAUAAAAUGAACCGCUGAAAAUAAAAAUUUUAUAAAAAAUGGAAGGCUAAAAACAAAAAUUUUAUAAAAAAUGGACGGCUAAAAUAUGGACGAGUAGCCUCAAAAUGAAUGGCUAAAAAUAAAAACUUUAUAAACCAUAAUGAUAAAAGACUUAAAUUUUAAAUCAGAAAUAUUGAUUUUACUAUUGGUGUUAAGUAAAAUUUUCUAUUAGAGUUUCAUGUAAUUUAUAUUAUUUUACAUCACUGAACUUAAAAAUGUGCCAUUUUGAUCGUUAAAAUAGUUAUUUUUAAGAUCUCUUGAUCACUUGGUAAAUAAUAUCGAAAAAUUAUAAAAUUUGGUUUUUAGAUAGCUUCUACAGCGUAGAUUAUGGCUAAUAGAGCAGAUUGUCGAAUUGGAUAUUCGAUCAUCAAAAAUAAAUUACAAGUAUGGAGACCUCCGUGCUUUCGGAAGCACAGGAGACAUACUUUCUCUCUCUCUCUCUCUAUAUAUAUAUAUAAACUUUUCAAAUAUUGUACAUUAUAUUUAUGCAAUUAAAUUUUAAUUUGAAAUAUUAAUCAUCCAUAUUAAGUAUAAUAGUUUCCUAAAAGCCAGAAAGACAACAGGAUUUAUAAUUCUUCACUGCAAUCAGAAUCUAACAGAGAUUUACGGCUCUAAAAUGAGAUGUCUUUUUUGUCACAAUUAUUAUAUAAAAAUAAUAAUAUUUAAUCAAAUAUUUUCACACUAUAUAAAAGCGUAACAUAAAGUUGCUUAAAAAUAUAACUUUAGAUUAAAAUUAUUAUUAUUAUAUCAUCUCUAAUUAGAUUCUUUAUUAUAUUAUUUUCGCAAAAAAUAGCCAAGGGAGGGAUAUACCCUUGGACAAAAUCCUCCUCUUUUAAAGCCUUUUCCAUUACAACCAAAACCCAUUGAAUUGUGGGUGUUCACUGUUAAAAUCCCCAAAUUGCCCUUGGGAAUAAUAUAUGUGGCCCAUGUACCUUGGGUGCAUGUGAGGUUGGUAGCAAAGUGAGGUUUUGAUCCAUCACUUUCUUAGCUGUCCUAGCACAAACUUCAAUAUCAUAAUGUUUCAAUUAUUAUAUAUUCAAACAUAUGAUUUUAUCUAAUAAGACAGUAGAACUUAAUCCUACCCAAUUAUUUUCGAUGAUAAAGAGGAGUUCACAUUAGCGAUCGACACCGUCAAAUAUGAUCUAACAUUUUAAAGGAUCUUAAAAUCGAAUUUCAUAAUCUUUAAAAUUUUCUCUUUAAGACAUCAAAAGAUCAUAGUAUGGACGCUUAAUGAUAAAGAAUAUUGUAAAAACAAAGGUUCAAAUUUCUCAAUACAAAAUUGAACCUGUCAUGUAUGUUUAAGAUAGUGAAAAUAUUUUUUCUUUCAGAAAUUCAAGGCGCGUCGAUCAUGAAAUAAGUAACUUUUAAAAUGAAUCAAAUUCGAUUUUCAGACAUUGCAUAUGCUGUAGAUUAUUUUUAACAGUAUCGGUCGCUACUAAAUGGACUUUUAAAAGGAAUCAAAUAUUAGCUUAAUAGGAAUCAAAUUCGACUUUUUUGUCACUACCAAAUGGACAAACCACCAACCUUAGCUUAAUAGGAAAACGUGGGCAUUAGAAUGAAUUGCCACCAAAUAUUAACAUUAUAUUAAGUAAAAAUUGAAAUUUUUAUUUUUUAUAUAAUAUAUAGAAGGUGUUUUUAACCCAUCAACUUAAACUUUUGAGUUAUUGUUUUUAGUUCUUUAAUUCUUAAUUAAUUCUUUGUGUGUGGAGCUAGUCAAAGUUGAGGGCUUUUUUUUAUUUAUUUAAUCACAAAUUGCCACAAAACAACAAGCUACGACUAAUAAACCAAAAUCUCGUGUACUACACUUCACUGAGUGGGAGAAAAAUAUAUUAUUUUAUUACAUUAAAUUAAAAGUGAAAAAAUUAAUAAAUAAAAGAAAACGUAGAGCCGUGUAUUGACACGAUUGACUCAAUCCACAAGCCACGUGCCACGUGCCACGUUGUAGGCUAAGUAUUAUCUUAAGACCCAUUAAUAUUGCUUUUAUCUUCUAAUUAAAACCUAGAUUAUUUAUUUAUUUUCCUCUCUUUUUUGGGGACAUCAAUAUAUAGAUAUGCAAGAUUUAGUAGCUUAAUUAUGAGCGUAUAGAUUUUGAUGCAUGAAUAUGUUAAAAGGCUCUAAUCUAAUCCAAAAGUUUAAGUUAGAUGUUAAUUCCCUACAAAUUACAUACACGUUAAAAUUUCAAAAAAAAUUAAUGGGCUCUAAUUAAUUCGAUCCAAAAAAUUAACUUACUAAGCAAAACACUAUCCACAUUUUAUAUAUAUACAUAUAUAUGUUAAAAUUUCAUCUUAUGUACACUCUAUGACUCUAUGAAACAGUGCAAAUUAAUCAUGCAUGUAACAACAAUGAUUCAAUGAUUAAUGUGAUUUUUAUCUUUUUUUUUUUUUUAAAGGGAACGAAUCCGAUUAAAAAUUUGUAUCUGCGAGUCAUAAUACAAGCCUUAAAUGGGUGACAAAAAAUUAAUUAAUCAAAGACACGAAAAAUAAUGGCAAGAAUUUAAUUAAUACAUACCUAUAAAAGGAAUCAAUAAUUAAGGAGUACAAUCAAACAAACGGCAAUAAAUCAGGUAUUAAAUGAAAAGAAAUCAUUUUAAAAUUAAUUUUGAUUGUUUCCAAAUUAAUUAAUAAUGAUUUGCUAAUAAUCAACCUGAGGUUCUUCUUUCUCUUUUUUUUUUCUUUUUUAUUUUUUCCAAUCAAAGAAGCUUUAAUUAAUAAUUAGUUGUUCAUCAACUUUAGUAGGUGUGAAUUAAAAAAAGAGACAAGUACUGGUGAUCCAUUACCUCAUUGUAGGCCACUCCAAGGAUUCCCAUCCCAAGAUCUAAAUUAUUUACAUACCUCAUUAAAACUCUUUUUUAUUUUUUUUUUCUGAGAAAAGGAAUAGCAUUAAUAAUGCUAUGCUUACAAAAACAAAUUUAUAAAAAAUUAAUCUUAUAAAUUUAUAAUAAAAUUGAGAAAGAAUUAAAAAUAUAUAUAUAUAAAUUUUAAAAAUUAAAUAAUAGAACACACAUUAGCAGGUGGAGAGAUAGGGGGGACGGACGGAGGGACGGAGGGACAUACCAGGAGGGAGGCGAUGGAGGCGAAGGCGAGGGUGGAGUAGCGGCCGAGGAAGGCGUCGGAGAGGAAGGCGCCGGCGAUGGGGGCGAGGCUGGUGGUGCCGUUGAAGGCGUUGAGGAGUGCGGCGGCGUCGACGCUGGGCAUGUGGAAGACUGCCGUCAGGUAGACCAGCAGGUUCGACGACGUCCCCAGCGUCCCCAGCUUCUCGAACGUCUCGUUCCCGAUGAUAUACGGCAUCGCCCCCCACCCCCUGUACUUCACCCCACCUCCUGCCGCCGCCACUGCCGCAGUCGCAUCCCCCACAUCGGCUGCGGCACCGCCGCUCUCCAGCUUCUCGACCGCCUUUCCCUCGUCCCCUGCCGCAGCCAUCGACGUAAUUUGGUGUCUAGGAUGAUGCCUCUCUGGGGCCGAGAGGAGUAAUUUAAUUUAUAAGAGCAAUGCUAGAUAUACAUCUCAAAAAAAGUAUAUAAGAGGGGGGUGUCACAUGCAGUAUAUAGCCGUACUACGCGCCCACCUCUGAGUUAGUUAGUUGAUGCCCAUCGAUUUGACUUUGCAGGUGGAGAAAGAGAGGAAAAGGAUUGGAGUAGUCGUAGGUUAAUUUUAGCACGUAAAUUCCCUGCGAAUGUGUGAAAUUUGUAUUAAUAUUUUAAGCAGUGUUACAUGAUUACAUAUAUAGGCCUAAAAGGGUUUAUUUGGUUCAUCUAUUAUAUACGCUGAAAUAAAAGUGUGAUUUACUAAUAAUUUUGAUGGAUAAAAUAUAUAUAAAAAAAGAUUCUGUGAAUAAUUGUUUUUACUCUUUUUUUUUUCUUAUUUUUAGAAACUUAUAUUUCUGUCCAAAUUUCAGAAAUAUAGAACGUUGAUAAAGAUGGCGAAAUAACUAAAUUUUCUUUACUUGUUCUAUAAAAUAAAUUAUUAUACUUCUUUCAAUUUAUUUUAAAAAUUCAAUGUAAAUUAUUAGAAAUUAAUGAAAUAGUGACGAAACCUUGACGGAGGAGACUAAAUACAUCGAUUUGAAAUUUUGGAUGAGUAAAAUAUAGGUUUUGAAAGUCAGAAAAGAAAAAAAAAAAAAAAAGGUAUUCGCCACGCCAGUUAUGAUAAAACAUGCCCUAAUUUGGAUGUAAAGUUUACAUCCUAUUCUUCUUGUGAUUUAUAUUUGCUCACUUGUGUUAUUAACUUCUUUUUUUUUUUCCCUUCUACUAUUACUAAAAUUCAAACGGAAAGAAAUUUUGUGAAUCCUUGAAUCUAAGGCGUAAAAUUUACGCUCUAUAUGGAGUCUUUAUAUAGCAAUUUUCGACCUUUUCCAAAAUCUUACUUAUUUUAUGCAUGUGUUGGUAAAAAGCCCGAGUUAAAAUCAAAUUUGAUAAAAAAUUUUGCGCAUAUUUUAACCCUAACGCAGGCACAAAAAGAUCUAGAUUAGACUCUGAUUUAAUUACUAUAAAAUUUUAAAUUUGGAACAACAACUUAGGCUGAAUUACAUUUAUGGGAUUGGAUCAGACAGAAUUGAAUAAAAAAUCGAACAGAAUCGACAAAGAAAGAAAAAAAAUCAGUACAUGUUUUUUUUCUCAAUUCUUAAGUUUGGUAGCUAAAUCCAACCUAACAAGCCAAACCAGCUAGUCAAAAAGCUGGCUCUUUUUAGAAGGACAUACAUACAUGAAUACUAAAUUUACAAAAAAAAAAAAAAAAGAGUUUUAAAAUAAUUUUCAUAUUUUUUGAUGGAAUUAAUGCCAAAAAAAAAAAAAACAAGACUCAAUCAUAUUAAAACAAAAAAAAAAAGAAAUCAUUUUCAAAGAAAUAAAGAGAGAAAUGGACUUAAACCGCACUCAAGCGGAAAGGGUCAGCUUAAGUGGAUCGAUAUCGCUUUCACGGACGUGUUAUCCACUACCAAUAACCUUUUCUUUUAUUUAUUUAUUUAUUUAAUUAUUUAAUUUAUUUAAUCAAAUCGGUGGUUAUCCUAACUACAUGCGACGGCGAUUGAUUGAUUGAUUGAUUGGGUGAUGGACGGUGGAUGAUCGUCCCUCUCGCACGCCACCUCGGUUGUUAGCAUAGCCACAUCUAAUUUAAUAUAUAAUAAUAAUAAAUAUAAAUAUAAUAAUUGACUCAUAAUUAAUGGCUAUAUUGCACUUUUAAACUUUGUAUUGUAACCCAUAUUUUAAUUGACCCUUCCCAGAGUUUGUAGGGUUUCAAUUUUUUUAAAAUUCAAAUAUGAAAUUUAAAUUUUAAAUUUUAAAUUUAAUAAGAGGAGUAAUAUUAUCAUUUUUCAUUUAUUACUAUCUAUAAUUCUUACCGACCGUCCCUAGCACAAGUGGCAAAAAGGCUUGAUGGCUGGUACGCGAGAUCUAAAUUUGAAUCCUAGUUGAUUCAUAUUUCCAGCUACGUUUAUUUCUAAAUGAAAUAAACAAAGCAGGUAGCCUGCUACCUUUCUCUCCCAAAAAAACAAAAAAAACUAUCUAUAAUUCUUUUUAUUCUAUUUUAUCUAUUCAAACGCUAUAUUUUUUCCUAUAAAAAAUAAUUCAAUUUUUAUCCAAACGUAAAAUUAGUCUGCUUCUUGCUUAUAUCUGAACUUGCAUCUAACUCUGAAAUAAGUUAUUUGUUACAGUUUACACCACAAAUCCAAUUAACCUUUUAUACAUUUCAAAUUUUAAGUCCAGUACAUAAUUUAAAAGCUGCAACUCAAUGAAUAGCAAAAUUAUAUAAACUGUUGAUAAAUGUUUAGUAUGAGAAUGUAGAAACAAUUAAACCUGCUAUAGCAAUUAUUUUUUCUCCCAGGUAAAAUUAAAAUAAAAAUAUGUUUAAAAUUUAAAAUAUUAAAUUUAAAAGUUUAUUUAUCAAAAUGAGAGUUGGGCCAAAAGUUCAAUCAUUAAUGAUGACUCGACGAAGUCACAUGCGCACACGCAAGUGAUGUGGGGGCAGGAACGCAAACGGGCCGGUCAGACGCUGGAACCCGACCCGACCCGCUCCGCUUCCCGCCCCGCAUCCGGCUACGUCACGGAAUAAAAUAUAAUUUUAAUUUUUUUAUUUAAAUUUAAAUUAAAUGUAAUUAGUUUUUUAUUAUUAUUAUAAAAGUAAGCAUUUUUUUAAAAUCACAUUCAUUUUGAAAUAAAAAAAAAUAUUUAGAACUCAAAUAACAUUCUAAAGAAAAUGAAAAAUUAUCUUAUGAUUUAAGUAUUUAUUGUGACGAAUUUGAAACAAAUCAAUUUUUUCAUCGAUCACCUCCUGUUCCGUAUCGAUUUACGAUCAUCAAAAUACUCCUAUUUUCUGUUCUGAAUUCGUUUAUUAUUUUUUACUGUUUGUAGGGAUGUCAAUGGGUACGGAUACCAGAAAUUUUAUUCAAACCCGAAUCCGAACGGAAAGGAUUUAUUCGAUGCUAAACGGAUAUGAUUUCAUAUAUGGAUAUCAAAAAUAAAACCCGACGAAUAUGAAUUCGGAUAUGAAUUUUGACUGCACCCGACCCGAACCCGACGCAAACCCGAAUUUAUUUUACAUUAUAUAUAAUAUGUAUAUAUAAAAAUUUGAUAUUAUAUUUGAAUUUGUAUUUUAAAAUUUUCAAUUUAAUGUAAUAUAUUUUGAAAUAGUGAAAAGAGAAAUAAUUAUUUCAGCUUCGGAUUUUCGGGUUUCGGUUCGGAUUUGAAUUUCGGGUUUGUGUCGGGUUCGGAUUUGAAUAUGAAUUUUUAAGAUCCGUUGGAUUCGGAUUCGGGUUUUAAAAAAUGCGUCUCGAAUCCGAUCCGUUGACAUUCCUAACUGGUUGUUCCAUUUAGGACGGAUCGGGGCACGAGCUCCGCCAACGGGGAUCAAUUUGCAUCCCCUGUGUGGGGGUUGGUGUAACAACCCUUUCAAUGUCAUUGUUUUGUUUAAAGAAACAUUUGCUCCCCCUUGGAUCCAGGGUGUAGCCUUUGCAUGGGAAAAAAAUGGGGAAUUAAAUAAAGCUCCAUCAACAUGUGCAUAUCCUUAUCCUUUGCCACUUUGCUACGGUUACCACAAACUCUCCCCCCACAGUAAACCCCAAAAAAAAUAUAUAUAAUUUAGGAUUGUUUGUGUUAAAUAAUGCAAAAUAACUAUUUGUUCUAAAAAUUUAAGUUAGGAGAGAAUGAGUGUUUUUAUAUUUUUAUAUUUAAUAUUUUUUUUUAUGCUUGAACUCGAAACUUUUUCGUAGGUUUAUAAUGUGAAUUUAAAUUAAAUAGAAAAAAAAUUAAUUAUGGUAGAAAUCUGGUGUGACUUAAACUCAGAAUUUUCUGUUUUAAUACCAUACUAAAUAAUCGCUGUACUACAAAAACUUAAACAGGUAAAUAUAAAAAUAUGUAUGUUUAGUUCAGUUAAUGCAAAACUUUAUUUUAUGUGCAAUAAUUAUUUCCCUCUAAAAUAAAUAAUAUUUUGAUGUUUUAUGUUCAAUAGUAUUCGAUAAGACAAAUUAACAUUGGUAUCUUUGAAUUUUAAAGGGAGUAGUUUUCAAAGUCCCCUUGAACUUUAGCUUUUCUAUUAAAAAGUGUCUGGAGUUAGACUUUCUAAAAUUUGUCAAAUAGCUCAAUAAAUCCACUCUAUUUAUUUAACAUUAUUAAUUAUAUAAUUAUUUUGGUCAUAUGUAUUGCAAAUACUUUUAUGAAACAUCAAAACAGAAAAUAUUUAUUUUCAUAUUCUAACACGUAAAGAGAAAAGAAUAAAAAUUAGAAUUCAGUUAUACCCAUUCUUUAAUUAUCAUGCUUAAUUGUUAAAAUUGGGAGAGAAAAAAAUUAUUUUUUUUAUAUUUUGAAGUCGUAGCGUGGCAUCCACUCAAAAUAUCUGCGUAAUUAGUAAGUUCACUUGAGGAGAAAAACCUAUUGAACUGUUGAUAAAGUUUAGGAGACGUAAUUGCAAAACUAAUCGCUCAAAUGCCUCUUUGUAAGACAUCUUUUUAAAGAGUAAUAUUACUGAUAUAUCUUAAAAUAUGGUGCAUAUGUUACACCCACUCUAUCCAAUGACCAUUAAUUUUCUACUUAUCAUAUUAAUUUUUAUUUAUUUUUAUUAAAAAUUAUUUAAAUAUUUAAUGAGAUGUAAAAUGUAUAUUCUUUUUUAGAGUGUACAACUAGAAUAUCUCAUUUUAAAUGGACACUCAACAGUUAUGGGGCCAAAACAGGCUACAUUGUCCUCAACCAUUAAUAGCUGCUUCUUUGUUUGUUUUGUUUUGUUUUUGUUUUUAUUUUUGUUGUUUUUCAACUGCUCAUUUAUUUGAUUUGUACUUUAACUACGAUAAAAUCAAGUGAUUAGAAAAAAAAAAAAUCCCAAAUGAAAUAAAGGAAUUCAUAUCCUCCGCACAUAUAACUCAUAAAACGAUUUGGCAAUCUAUCCCUUUAGCCCGCUCUGUCAUUUCUCCUAACUCCAGAGUCACAAAAAUAUUUUAUAUUUAUGUGACUCGUGAAAUAAAGAUUGGGUAAAAAUUCACCUACGCUCUUUUUAUUACAUUUAUAACUUUUAACAUAUUUUAUAAAUUCUCUAAGUUAAAAUUAAACCAAAGGAGAGAUGAAGCAAAAUCUACUGAUGAAAUUCUAAAAGAAAAUGAAUAGUAUCAACAUAUGGAUUGUUUGUAUUUAGUUGAAAUGCAUACUAUUUAAGAGAAUUUUCAAAUGGUGUGUUGGAUUUUUAAAUUUGACCUGUAAUUAGAUAUGGGCAUGGCCCAAACAUUAAAAAAGUGAGGGGCUUUCCAACUGUGUAUUUGGGUGAGGUUUCUCUUUCUUAAUUAGUUUCGUUACUUACCUGAUUUUUUAUCCUAUUGACAGGGACUUUCCAACCAAUUUCUUUUAGAUUUUUAGAAAAAUUUUUUUUUUAAAAGAAAACAAGCUCAUAGGCCGGAUAAAAUCACACACUAGGUUUUCGGAUUCGCCAACAGAUCCGCUGCAUAUGCAGAUAGCCCUAUAUAUAUAAAGCGAUACAAAUAUCUGCAUAAGAACAACUACUAUAGAAUAACAAAGCUAUUGCAAUAGAAAUAGCUGGUCAUAUGUACAUACAUAUAAUUUAAGUUGUGCAAAUGAACCAAAAUCUUAUCAUCAUCUUUCAACUCUAAAAAGAUGAAAUAAAGUACAAUUGCAUGUAUAUGAGUAACAAAUUGAACUACGGGGCGUGAAUUUAACGCUAACAAUGUCUCGUUGGGGAGCCCCUAAUCUGCCGCCGCCACGUAUUAGUUUUACUUGCAUCCAACGAUUCGUCUGGUGUUUUUGAACACUAAAACUCAAAAAGAAUUGAUAAAAUUCUACUGAAUCUGAACUAUAGACUAUUUUAAAUCUGCUAUCCGAAUUUUCAAAAUUUUGAUCUUACUAUGCAACUUUUCAAUUUAUUAGAUUUGAGCCGGUCAACGGCACCUUGACUUCUAAAUUGAGUGCAUUGCUUAUCUUUAUAAGUUUAUUUAUUAUACUUUAUAUAAUUCUCACAAAUCACAGGUAUAAAUUUAUUAAAAUAAAUAAUUAACUUAAAUUUUGAAAUCAAAAUUUUGUUGACUGACUCAAAUAAAACAAAUUCAAAAGUCGGAUAGUAAAAUUAAAAUUUUGAAAGUUUGGAUAGCAAAUUCAAAAGAAUUUUAGACAUUAAAGGCAAAGACUAUACUAUAUUGAAUAGUGGCAAAACUGAUACGUGAUAAUAGAUCUAUGCUUCUCAAUGAGACGUCAUUGGAGAGUUCAUGACUAAAUUUUUUUUUUUAUUUUUUAUUUUUUAUUUUUCUCCACAGGGAUUGUCUCAAAAAUAUCCUACUAAAUUAGUCACAUAUUUAUUUUCCAAAGAGGUCAGAGACUUAAUUAUUUUAAAUAUUAAACGGGCAUGCAGAAAAUCAAACUCGUGAUCUCUCGACCUGGCAAUUUAAAAUAUCAACUAACUGUGCUAGACAGUGAUGUUUCGUAAUUUUGAAAGCUAUGUUUGGUCCAGAGACAAAUCAAAGAAAGCGAGAAGGGAACUAAUUAUGUAGGUAGCUUUAAAUAAAGUGUCAUAAUAAUUAGAAGAACAACUUUAAUUAAUGUUGAAUGACAAGUUAAUUAAUUCUUUGGUGGGAAAAAAAAAAAGGGAAUAAAGUGUUUCUAAUAAAUUAAGUUGUUUGUGUACUGAAAAUAGUUAUAUGCGGAAUAUUUAUUAAUAGUAAAUAAAUAGUAUUUAUUAUUAAUUGUUUAGCUGUUGAAUAUAUAAUAGUAUUAUCACCUAAUGGUAAAGUCCUAUAAAUAUUUAAGGACCGAAAAAUUAAUUGUAAAUAUUUUUUAUUUUUUACUAUAAAAAGCUUUUUAGGCUCAGUUGCUUUGUUUGAUCAUAAUUUCUACACUGGUUUUCACAUCGAUCCUCACUUUUUAAUUUUUGCAAUUGCAUUUUUAAUCUUUACUAAUACAUUCUAUUAAAAAUUUACUAAUAUGGACGGAAAAUAGUAAUAUUCAUCUAAGUUCUACUGAUUAAAUUGACUUGAUUAAAACAACUAAUAAGUGUUAGCGAACCAAAUACAACAAAAUUGAAAAAAUAAUAAAAAGUCAUAUUUAACUUGCCCGGAAUAGAAAAGUACUACGAAUUAAGACUAUCCUGCAAUAUAUUAUAGUAGAAGAUUGUGAGUUCGAAUCACUGAAACAGCAUGUUUGGAAAAUCGAGAAAAAUAAAACUAAUUUAAUGUUGAUUUAUUUCUCAUUUUCCCUAUGUCAUGAGAAAGUGGAAAUUACAUAUUGCCAAUACAUUUUGAUUAAAAAAAAAAAAAAGAAAAGAGAAAAAGUAACACUUCCAUACAAAUUUUUUAUUUUACUACUUUAAGUUUAAACUAAAGGAACCUUUGAAUCCUUUCCCUCCAAAGCAAUUUCACCUGCACUGAGUGAGCCCUUGUAUCUAUACCACUUUGCGCAAACAAGAAAAUAGAACAUGUUAAACACCCCUAAAAUCGCGAUCAUUAGGUAGAAAUAAUCUAACCUCCCCUUGUUCAGAUCUUGCGCUAACCAAUUGUUAUCUUCGCCGUCGGUCCCGGUCGUUAGAUGGACGAUCGUCACCAUUAAACUGCUCAGGUAGUUCGAAAGCGCGAACCCGAGGAACAGCAGAGCCCCUGCUACACUCCUCAUGUGCUCCGGAAACUGCUUGUAGUUGAACUCUACCUGGCUUAUCACCGUGAAAGCCUCGGCGAGGCCGAGGAUCGUGAGCUGGAACGCGAGCCACAGGCUCGACAUAGACGAAACGCCGCCCCCGCUCGACGUGACCCCGAGAAGCGGCCUGUGGACCGCGUAGCUCCGCCUCCGGUCUUCGACGAGCGCCGCGACGACCAUCGCGACGACCGCGAGGACCAUUCCGAUCCCCAUCCUUUGGAGCAGCGUAAGGCCCUCGUCCUUUCCGGUCAGUCUCCGGAGCAGGGGCACUAAAAUGCGGUCGUAGAUGGGGAUCCAUACCGUAAGUGCGAGCAUAGAGAACACCACGAAAGAAGCAGCGGGGAUCUCAAAUUUGCCUAUGAGGCGUCGGUCCGACUGGAGGGCCUGAUACACGGUGUAGGUCGAUUGCUGAACUGUCGCGAUGUAGAAGACGAUUGCGGUCGACCACACCGGGAUGAUUCGCGCGAUGCACUUCACCUCCUCGACUUGCUGUAGUGUGCAUAGUCUCCACCGGUUUGCGGCCUCGCCGGUCGGUUUUAGUUCGUCGGACGGAGUCACGAUUGCAGCUUUGUCGAGAAACCUAAUCAUUUCAUGAAAAAAGAAGAAACAUAAUUUGAAUGUUGCACACAAAAAUGCACCUUGCACAAGUAUACUACUUAAUUAGGCAUAUAAUCAAUAAGUCUAUUACAAACCAAAUAGAAGUUAAUAAGCUAUUUAUCUUAUUACCAGGAUAUUUAGACAACAUUUAGACAUAUAAUCAAUAAGUUGAAUUAAAUCAGAUGGAGGUGAGAAAAUCUAAGAAUUUAAAAAUUCUUGUUGAAUUUUUAGUAAUAAAAAUAUUGAUAAAACUAGUAAAAAAAUAGUUGUUAUUUGUAUAAAUAAGAUACAAAAUUUACAUAAUUUUGUUAUUGAUUGAAGCGAAAAAGUUUAGAUAAUUUUAUUAUUUAUUGCAGUGGAAUGCAUUCGAGUAGCGUGAGCGAUAGAAUCGAAUCACAUGCAAAAUUUUUAGUAAAAAACUUUUAGUGUUCCCAAAUGGGGCUUAAGAGGAGAGUUAUAACCCAUCAGGGGAUGAACUUGGAGAAGAUCAUAUUAACAUUCAUUCUCAAAAAACAAAAUAAAACAAAACAAAACCAAACCAAACCAAAAAGGUUAAUCUAAUAUUGUGACUUCAUCCUAGUAUAUAGUUGUAGGUUUGGUUAAAAAAUCACGAUAUAUUUAGAGAUCUGACCCUUCUACGUGGCAUGUUUGUUUCACCGAAAGUAAAUUUUUGAUUAAAAUAGAAUUCAAAAAAAAAUUAUUUUUUCUCCUGUUAUUUAUUUUCAUUACUCUGGAAGUACAAUUUCUCCAAUUCUGUUAUUUGUUUGGAAGAAUAUGAAUGAAAAAUAAUAAAUAACUUGAUAAAUAAUAAAUUAUAACACAAAAAAUAAAAAAAAUAACAUAAUGGUAUACUUAUAUAAUUAAAAUUAUAAUUUAAAAUAACCAAAUUAAUUUUUUAUAUAUAAAUUACAAAAAUACAAUAAUAGAAUUACAGAGUAAAAGAAUAUUAAUACUCAACUAACGAAAUUUCAACAUAUGUUAAAUGUGCAAACUAAAUAAAAGUGAUACUAAGGUUUUAUUUUGAAUUGCGGGGAGAUUGUGCUACGUGCGGUGAGAAAGUAUGAUGGAAAAAUACUGUACGUAAUAUUGUAGUCGGUUACGAUACAUUUUCUGGAGUCCUACCGAAGAACGCAGGAGCAUAUCCCAAUAUGCUUUUACCCAAACUCUAUUUUAUAUAAUAGCGUUAGAUAAACCGCAAUACCAAACUAAGCCUAAGUUUAACUAUCCAAUUUUCAUCAUAUGUAAAAUAUGUAAACUAAAUAAAAAUAAUAAUUAGUACUAUAAUUAAAUAUAGUUAAAUAUAACUAGCAUUAUUUAUUAUAUUAUUUUAUUAUUUUUUUCAAUUCGCUUUACAGUAAUUGAAUUCAGUUCAGGACGGGCCGAAAUCAAUUAUACUAUUAUGCAUUACUUUUUUUUCAAUUCUCAAGUACAACAUAUUAUGAAAAGUAUUAAUUAGUAUGUUAAUCAUUGUACUAUUCUAACUUCACCAAAAUGUCUUCUUUAGAUAAUUUAUUUUAAGUUACAAGUGAACAUUUUCUCUUUGCUAAAAAAAAAGGGUUAAAAGCAUAAGUUAAUUCGUAAGAUACGUGUACAAAUCAAUUUCUCCAAAAACUUUAGCUGUUUGGGAAUAGUGGGGUUCGGGUCUCUGAUGACAUAUAAAAUAGGGAAAAUUUUCUCUAUACCCUUCUAAAAGCAUCUAAUUUCAUAAAUGCCCCUUUAAAAAUUGAAAUAUCAUAUAUACCCCCUCAAAUUUAACAAACUUUCAAAAAUACCCCUGCCAUCAAAUCUCCAUCCAUAUUAAAAUUAAUAAUAUUUAUAUUCCAACUUUACCCCUCUUAAUUAUUCAUUGGUCAAUUAAUAAUUCUAUUUCAUAAAUACCCUCUUUUAUAUUUCAAAAUUAAUUAAAUUCUAUCUAGACUAAAAAUUUAGUAAAAUUCAAUUGAUUUUAGUUUAAAAAAUUAUUCAUUUUAAUUAAAUAAAUAUUUCUAUUUGGAAUAAAUUAUAGUUAAAUUAAAUUUCAUUUUGCUUUAUUGUCAGAAUGAGAAAUAGUUUAUUUUAGUUAUAUCUUCUUUUUUACUACACCGAUUGUAAAGUAAUAAUUUUUUUUUAUUUGACUACUUAAUAUAGAGAAAAUUUGUUAUUAUGAAUACAUUACAACUAAGAGCAUUAGUAUAAAAUCCGACCUCAAAUAAAAAAAAUAGUUAUAUUAUGAAAGGACAAACUAAAUUCUUGUAAUCAACGGACUUUACAUAAACCAAUAAUUGUUUUGAAUAAUAAAUUGAAAAAAUUUUAGAUAAUGAAAAUUUUUCACAAAUUAAGAUAAUUAUUCCAUUAAAUUUAAUACCUUUGACUAAUUUUCAGUUGAAACUAGCAUAAAUUUAUUUAAUAGUUAAUUAUUAUUAGCUAAUUAACCUAUUAAUUGAAUUUCUCUAUUAAUUGAUUAUAAUAUUUGAAAUCUGAAUGGAUAAAGAAAAUUUUAAAAAAAAUGGAUCACGUACAUUUAUAUGCCCCUUAACAGUUUAGAGGCAAAAUGACCAAUUUUAUUCUUAACCUUUAUUAUAUUAUGGUAUAACUAAAAUUAAAAUGAGUUGAGGGUAUUUUUGAAACAAAGUAAAUAUUUGUAGGGGCAAUUUUGAUAUUUCAAAUUACGUAAGGGCAUCUACGAUAAUUUUGAACUUUUCAGGGGUACGAAUGAAAUUGCCCCUAUAAAAUAACUAUUUGUCUUUAAAAACUUAAACUACAAAAUUAUAGCAUUUUACUUAAUUAUUUAUAUUUAACAACCUAUUCCUUUAUCUAAUUAGAUGUGUUCAAUCCAUAUACAAAUACUAAGUCAACCUAAGACCUUUUCAGAUCCUAAUGAAUAUGUUGAAUCACUUCAGGGGUGUAACUAAACAUGUGCUUAGAUUCUUCUGAAUCUCUAAGUACCAAAUAGUUUUAAAUUACUUAAUGUAGUGGAUUAACUCUUCUGUUAUAAAACUAAAAAUUAAACUAAAUCUCCCUUUUAGCUAGGCCCUUUAAAUUAUGUUGGUAGUUAUUAAUAAUAAUGGUGCAAUAUAAAAAUGACAUUACAAUUAUAUUAAUAGCAUUUUUCUAGGGUUGUUGGGAUUAAGUAGUUGAUUGAUAUCCUUCUCAUAAGGUUAUAAGACUUAGACUUGGUGUCGAUGUCCACAUUGUGGGAGAAUGGAUAUGGGCUAAAACAAAAAAGAAAGAUAUAAUAUAUUUUUUGAGAGAAAAUAAUGUUGAUGUCUACUUAAUAGUAGGGGUUGUUAACGAGCCGAACACAAACGAGCUGGGACGGCUCGUGUUCGGCUCAUUUCAUAAACGUACGAGCUGAGCAUGAGCCGGAUCGUUAAAGUAUCGAGGCGAAAAAUUUAGCUCGUGUUCGACUCGUUAUGUCUCACAAACAACAAGAUAGAAAAUUAGAAAGGAUAAAUGUAGAAAAUAAAUUUAUGAAAUUAUCCAUUAGACUCUGACUUAAUAGUGGAAACUUUAUAUAUAAAUGAAUCUGUUUAUAAUUAAGUUGGGCUUUAUGUUUAGGUUGGACUAAAAAUCAAAUAAUAAAAUAUGUAUUAUAUAUAUAAUUAUUUAUUUAUUUAUACAUAUAAAUAUAAAAUAUAUAAAUUAUAAAUAUAAAGUAUAUGUAUUCGAGCUGUUAUCGAGCAGAACAUGAGCAAGCUGACCCCAGCUCGUGCUCGACUCAUUUAUUGAACGACCUCAAAAAUUUUGCUCGUGUUUGGCUCGUUUACUAAACGAGCGAUUCAGUCUCGAGCUCAAUUUGAGCUGAAUACAAGCUGGUUUGCGAACAGAGAGCUCGAAUUCGAUUGGCACCCCUUAGCAUACUGUACAUCACCAAUUUGUUGAUCAUGUUUUGGACCUAAGGGUGCGUUUGGUUCGCAUUAUAAAAGAUUACUAGGAAUAAAAGAUAUCCGAGAAUCUUAUUACUAUUCAUCCUAUUACUAAGAAUGUGGAAUUCCUGUGUUUGGUUCACACAGUAAUAUUAAUUAGCCAUGUUAUUUAAUAGUACAAAAAUUAUACAAUUAAUUAAUUUAUUUAUUUAAUUAAUUUUAAAUAAUGUUACCAAAAGUUUCAAUAUCUUUUUAGAAAAAAGGGAGAGAAAGUAUAAGUUAGAGAGAGAGAGAGUAUAAUUAAAAAAAUAGAAAGAAAAAUAUAGUCGAAAUUAGAGGGAGUGAGAGAGUUGAAAUUUUAGAAAGAGAGAGAGAGAGAGAAAGCUUAGUUUAGAGAGAGAAAAAAAAGUUGAAUUUUAGAGAGAAAAAUAAGUUUAGAGAGAGAUAUAAGGUUAGAGUGUAAAGAAAAAUAAUAUCAAUUAGCCGGCGGGUAGGAAAAAAGAAAGAGAUUAGACAUAUUAUGAUUACCCCAAUCUAUUAAUAUGAGGAUACCCACCCUCCCUCAAGGGAAUGAGAUUAGUACUUUGGGAUGAAUCUUAUUCCCAAGUGAAUCCAAUAUUACCAAUUAGAUUACUUAGUACGUUUAGCCAAACACCGUCAUAUUUUUUUAUUCCCAUUGGAUUACUAGGAAUCUUUAAAAGAUAGCGCGAACCAAACGCACCCUAAAAGUUUUGGGCUUUGUUGUUUAAGGCACAACAGGCCCAUAUUACUUAAACCAUACCCCAUGAAAAAAUUUAAGGGACCGGUUAAGAUUAAUCUCGACGCCAAUUCUAAGCACACUCCAGACUCAAAAGGUUGCGGAUUCGAUUCCCCAUAUUUAUUUUUUAUAAUUAAUAAUUCUUUUCAUCAGUUAGUUAAUAGAUCCUGUUUUUUUUGGAUAACAAGUUGAUCGAGACCCCUCAGCAAAUUAAUUACGCGAAUAAAUUUAAAAAUUGUUUGGCGCGCAAAUCAAAUAUUCCUCACCUGAACUGAUCCGUGUAGGGGAGCUUGGUGACAAGGGCACUCCGGUGCGGCGGAUCGAACAAAUCCCGCCCGCCGGCCCCCUCCUCCUCUCCCUCCUUUGUCGGCGGCUUUUGCACCCUCCGCUUCCGUAUCGCGGCCACCACAACCUAUUGAAUACAAGAAAAUAAAAAAAAAAAAAUAUCAAAAUAUCGUUCUCUGAUAGCUUAAGUUUUUAGAGUAAUGAUCGGCUGUUUCGCAUGACCUGCGCGAAGCUGGUGAAGGGGCUCCCCUCGGGUGGGAUGCGGACGUAGAUCGGCGUCCCCACGAAAAAGAAGGCGCAGGACAGGAACAUGAGCGCGGCCGGGAUCGCGAGGCCGAUGGACCAGCUGAUGUUGCUCUGGACGUAGAUGAUGACCGUCGCGGACACCAUCAUCGCGACCGUAAAGGUGAAGUAGUACCAGUUGAAGAAGCUGUUGAUGCCGCGCCGGCCCGAUUCGGUCCGCGGGUCGAAUUGGUCCGCCCCGAACGCCAAAUUGCACGGCCGAAUGCCCCCCGCGCCGACGACGAGGAAGAAAAAGCCCGAGAGGAGGACGAGUAAUUGCAAUGUUGUCGGGCCACGACAGUGGUGGUCGGAGGCGGUGUCGGAGCUGUCGCAGUGGGGUGGGUGCAGAGUCCGAAUCGUGGCGGUGAGGGUGAGGAUCAGCAUUCCCUUUUGUGAUAAAAAAAAAAAAGAACAAAUCAUUUUUUUUUCGAAAAUAACAAAUUGACAUGAAUGAACAGUAAUAUUGACAGAGCAGAUCAAAUUUAACUGUUGGUAUUACAUGCAUUAAAUUUAGUAAUGCUAGAUAAAUAAUGAGCUUUCCAUACCAAAUCAAACUUUAUACUAUGAGUCUUUCACGGUGAAACAGGAAUCAUUACUGUUGAUGAAUCCACUGACUUAGACUGUUAAAAUAAUACCGUUUGAUUGUAUAUAAUUAUAAUUGUAUUGUAAUUAUUUCCGCAUGCAGAUUCAAAUAAGAUGCUUGGUUCGAUGCUUUUGAUAUCAAUUGCUGCAGUUGGAAGUGCGUGAGCAGUUCCAACUACAACAAUUGGAAUUAUAUCCAAAUUAGCUACAGUUUCAACUGCAGCAGUUGGGAAGAGUAAUUUUAAACAAAAGAUAAAUUUACGUCCUUCAUCAAUUGUUAAACAUAAUUUUUUUUUUCUAUAUUAAAGGUAUUCUCACCCCUCCAUAUUUAAAUUGGUAAGAUUUUGAAGAUGUGUUUUUCAAUUAUAAGCAACCAAAUAAAUUAUUUAUAAUUACAGUAUUUUAUACUGUAUUUAACCAAACAAGAUAUAUGCAGUUAUAGUUAUUAUGUUUUCAACUGCAUACAUUUCUAUUUAUACUAAAUUUUUAAUUACAUCUAAUUAAAACGACCCCUUAUUUUUAUUUUAUUUUGUUCCCUCUCCAAGCUAUAAAUUAAGCUAGUGGGUGAAACUACAGCUUUAGUUGGUUUUUGUAAUUUUAGGCAAAAUAUUUUCUGACAUCCUAGUUAUUACUAGUGCAAACAAAAAAUUGCAGUUAAUAUUUUUUAAUAUUUUUAAUCUCUGGAGUAAAUGGCAAAGGGCUUAGUGGUUGGUACCUGAGGUCUCAAGUUCGAAUCCUAGUUGAUUCAUAUUUUUAGCUAAGUUUAUUUUUAAAUGAAAUAAACGAAACAGAUAGCGUGCUACCUAUCUCUCAAAAAAAUAAUAAUAAUAAUAACUAAAUUUCUUUAGUUUCUUAUAGUCUUUCUAGAUCACUAUGAUCCAUGACCUUUUUUUACCUCUUACACGCAAAGGUCCCAUACAUCACUAAAUAUUCCUUGCAGUUAAACCUAGUUUACCAAACUUAAAUAAAUUUCUCUCCCACACAAUUAAACCUACUUUGCCCACUAACAUCACUCACAUAUAUACUUUUUUGUUUUGAACAAAUUAGGUAUAACCGAUGUAGUAAAAUUUAAUCAAUAAAUAGUGAUGAGUGUAAGUCCAUGGACCUUCUUAAGAAAAAGAAAUAGCAAAUUGGUAUUUAUUGAGUAAAGUUAGAAAACUUCUAGAAAUAAACAACUUACUCGUCGUUUCUAGCGGUGAGAUAUCCGAAUUAAUAAUCAUCAGCGUUAAACAUAAUACAGAUUAUUUGGACUUAGUAGAAACUAAAUUGUAUAAAUUUUUCAACAUUUUAUAUUUAGUAUUCACAAGUUCCAAAUUUGACAAUUUUUAAUGACAAAUAUAUAGUGAAUUUGAAACUACUCAAUCACUAGGUAAAUAUUAUUGUAAAACUGCAAAAUGUGAUUUAUAUGAGUUCAGAUAACUUAGAUAAUAUUUAAUAAUACCGAUCGUCAAUUCAGAUCCUCCAUCACCAAAAACGAUGCGAAGAAAAAUAACCUCUUUUUUUUUUUGCAUUAUUUUUACAUUGAGAAAAGGAUAAUUUAGAAACAAAGGACUUGCCUAACUCAGUGACAAGUCCUUUGUUUGGGCUUCAAUUUCUAGUCACAUGUGGUGGAAAACUUAAAAAAGUGGUGUGUAGUUUGUGGGACACUGCUACAACUAAGGCUUUAAUUAUUGCCAUAAGGGAUGUUGUCAUUUUGCUAAGAAAUUCUACACAUUUAUGUCAAUUAUUACCACAAGUUCUAUUAAUGAAAGGUAUAUAUUUGUAAUAGUAAAGCUGGAAUAUUUUAGACGAAAAAUAAUCCUUUUAGUUAUACCUCAUUUCUCACAAUGAGACAUCUAAAUUGAUGAUCAACACUGGUCUAGAUUUUUUUUUUUUUUGAGAGAGAAAUAGGUAGUAUGCUACCCGUUUUGUUUAUUUUAUUUAGAAAUAAACUUAGCUGGAAAUGUGAAUCAACUAGGAUUCGAACUUGGGACCUCGGGUACCAACCUUCAAGCUCUUUGCCACUUGCGAUAGGAAUGGUCGGUAAAUUUUUUUUAUUAGUAAUCAAAUUUUUAUAAUUUUAUGAUAUUAUUUAAUUCAGUGAUCAAACAGUCUCAAAUUUAUCCUAUAUAUAUAUAUAUAUAUAUAUAGAGUCCAACUAUGGUGCUUGUAAAAGCACCAAGCAUUUGGUGCUUGUAAGUUUUUUACCGUUAGAUUUACUUCUCGGAUCAUUUUCAAUCAUUAGAUUAUACUAUUCAACCAACCACCCACUCAAUCCUUGAGGACCCACAUCAUCCUAACCGUAUAUUUCUUAAUCCAAUGGUUAAAAUCUACAAGCACCAAUAACUUAGGUACUUUUUAAAGCAUAGAAGCUUAAUUAUAUAUAUAUAUAUAUAUAUAUAUAUAUAUAUAUAUGGGGUUAUUGAGGCCUCAUUGGAGUAACUAGAUAAAUAUACUCAAGAUAUUAUAAAAUUCAGUUGAGGUAAAAGUAAAGGAACUUGUAACUUCGAAGUUAAAUAAUAUCAUAAUAUAGACUCUUCUACGUGCUCCUCUCUCUCUCUCUCUCAUAUACAAACAAAUUGAAAAUCUAGCUGAGACACAUCAUGGGUAGUGUGCUGUACCCAGGAACAAGCUACAGAGGUCUUACAAAUGAAUUGAAAUGCUGGAUCAAUGAUUGGAUCCAUUUGAUAAAGGGAUCGAUCCAAAAAAACCACAAACCUGUCAACUGCGCCCACAGUUCCAUCGGAAAGUGCUUUGAAUCUCCCAGAAUAUUGUCUUUAAAUAUUAUUAAUGUAUUAUCAAUUGCUCUGUUGAGACUUUUAGGCUUCGUUUGAUUCGGAUAUAAGUAAGAACUAGUUAUAUCGAGAAUAGGUACAAGUAUGAAUUUUCGUAGGAACAAGGAUAUUUUUUUAUUUGGAUAAAAAUGUGGGUAUAAACUGAAACUAGAAAAAUUAUAUUUUGAUGAAAAUGUGAGUAUAAGGUGGAAUAGUUGGUAGUUAUAGAUAGAAAAUAAUGAUUUUAACCCUAUAAUUGAAUUUAAAAUUUUAAACUUAUAAUUUUAAAUUAAAAAUUUUAACUUUUAAAUUUUAAAAUUUGAAAUUUAUAAUUUAAAUUAAAAAUCUCUCUCAAAAUCUAUCUCUCUCUCUAGAUCUCUCUCUCUUUAUAUAAGGAGGGAUCUGUACGUAGCAAUACUCGAAAUACAGAAGUAGAAAUUAUUAUUAUUAUUAUUGUUGUUGUUGUUACAAAAGUUUGUAGGUACAUAGUUUUCUGUUCAUCAUUUUUUUUUUUUUUAGAGAAAGGUAGCAUGCUACCAGAUUCGUUUAUUUUAUUUAGAAAUAAACUUAGCUGGAAAUGUGAAUCAACUAGGAUUCGAACUUGGGUCUCAGGUAUCAACCACCAAGCCCUUUUGCCACUUGCGUUAGGGACGGUCGGUCUGUUCAUCAUUUUUCUAUCAUUGAAUGGAUAAAAUUAUUUAACCAAACCAAUUAAACCAUGCAUUUUGUAUUGGAAGUGUUAUAUGUAGGUAGGUUUAUCAUGACAAAUAUCUUGAACCAACAUAGCCCUACUUCCACUAAGAAAUGCUAAAGAAAAACCUAGCACCUAACUUCGUUAUUUUUGGUACAACUUCAUUUCGUGUAAUAUAUAUACACUAAGCAUUAAAUAGCUUCUAGAUAUAUACACACACAAGUAAUUCUGAUUGUUUGGUUGAGAUUCUAAAAUAACUUCUCUAUUUAAAAUUAAAAUUAUUUGGUACUUCAAAAAUAAAAUCUUCAUGGUUCUACUAUGUUAAAACGUUACAAAACUAUUAAUACUUCUUUAAAUAACUCUACCAGAUGUGCAGAAACUUCAACUAAGGAAGGAGGGACAAAGUACCACAAACGACGCGAUCGAGGCGAAACCCAAGGUGGUGUACCGGCCCAAGUACGUGUCGCUGAGGAACGCACCGAUGACAGGGGUGAUGUUGGUCGUGCCCGAGAAGAGGUUGAGCAUCGUCGCGGCGGUGACGCUCUUGACGUGGUAAAUGGUGGUGAGGUAGAUGAGCAGGUUGGCGACGGUGCCCAGAGUCCCCAGCUUCUCACACGUUUCGUUUCCUGCAGAUUCAUAGCAAUAUACGCAUCAAAUACUCAUUGUCCUGCCGUAAGGUUUAGUGUUGUUUAAAAGAACUUUUAUUUCUAAAAGCGGAUUGAGAAGCUCUAAGUUGGUGCUUUUGAUUGUUCGAAAUAAGCGUACGUGGCUGAAACUCACGAAGAGAUAGGCGCGAUUCAUGAAACUAAAGAAGAUGCAAGAACCAUUGAAUUAUAUACGUAGUUUGUAAAUUGUCGUAAAAUUUGUUAAGGGAAUUAGUAGUUAAUGUUGCAUACCUAUAACAUAAGGCAUGGCUUUCCAACCACUGUACUUAAUUAGCUGAUCAGGCUCUUGCUUCUCCAUUGUUGGUGUCUUGUGAUUAUCUUCUGUGGCUCCUGUCAUUUUUUUUCUCUCUUUUCUUCAAUUUUUCCUUUUUUUUUUGUUUAUUUAUGGUUCCUCUACUCUCUCUCCAACUCUAUUUAAGAUGCACAGCUAAGGGGGGAGAGAGAGAGAUAGAGAGAGGGGGGUGUGAAAUGGAAUGUGGUACUUCCUCUCACACUUAUAGUGAUAUUAAUAGGGAACUGAGUUAGGAGCACUGUGGCUCGAAUGUCACUAUCUUAAAUCAUGUACACAGGGAAUGGGAGAGAGAGAUCUAGAGAUCUAGAGAUCUAGAGAGAGUCAAACACUUAACUUACGAGGUUCAAUUUACCAUGUACAUACACAACAGUGUACGUACGUGUGGCACCAAUUUGGUCUACUUAAUUAGUAAAUAUGUUGUUCUCUUAGUUCAAGGAAUAAUCCGAUAAACAGUAGUAACGCUUGUGUACAUGCAUGUGUCGCUUCUAAAUAAUUUUUGCCUAGUUAUUACCUAAAAUAUUCAAUUUUAUAUUUAAACACUUAAAAAUCAUAAAAAUAUUUUUAAUCUUUAUUCCUUUAAUACUAUAUAUAUAUUUUUUAGAUAUUCCAAGAUAUUCCAAGACAUAAAAAGCAAGUGCUUUUAAAAACGUAAUUCCAAACUAAACCUUACAAUAUUGUAAAAUAUGUUAUCCAAAAGAUAUUAACACCAGUACUUACGUGUAUGAUGAAUAUGAAAGAUACGUAAAAUUGAACCACAGCGUUAUAGGACAAAAAGGAUUUAAAAUUAGCUCUAAUAUCAUGUUACCUAAAAGAUCGAUUUAGUAGGAAACACACCAGAUUAUAUAUCAACAAAAUAUAAUGGUAAAAUACAAACUAUAUAUGUAAUAUUUUAUUGGUUCAUCACUAUCACGUUAAGUUAAAGUCCAAACCCUAUAUGUACAAAUGCGUAAUGAUCGGCGUGGAUGUUUAGAUGGAUGAAUCUAUAUACAUAUAUAAAUCGAUCAAUGAAAAUAUGUUUCUCCGAUAUAGUAAUUAAGUAUGUUACAUAUUCAAGAUAUUUAUGAACAACAUGUAUAGAGAACAUGAAGUAGACAUAAAGAGCAUCCCCACAAGGGACCUCCCCAAAGAGGAUAACCCUAGCUAGUAUGUAGAUGUUGGGAAAGAUGAGUGGAAUACUAGGGUUGGUCUAGUUAAAGUCUAUUAGUAUUAGAUAAUAAUAGGCAAUAAAUUAGAAUAACUACCCUGGCACAUCAUCGCAUGGACAAAGUCUUUUCUGUAACAAUUAUAUAUAACAUAUAAAUAAAUAGCAAUAGGCAAUAAAAUAUAUAGAACAGUCUGAGCAUAUCGCAUCGACACAAGUCGUUUUUGUAACAGUUAUAACAUAGAUAAACUGUACUGCUGAUCCCUAACCUUUAAGUUUCAUGUUGCUCCUCAAAAUUUUUUAUUUUUGGGAGAGAAAAACAGUAUGCUACCUGCUUUAUUGAAAAUAUGCAGUUAAGCUUCUAAACUUAAUGAUUUCAAUUUUGUUCCUGAAAUUUCCAUUAUAGUAUAUUUUAUUAUUUACCUUAAAGUAAAAAAAUAUUAGUUGCACCUAUUUUACCUAUGAGCCCGUACACUUUGAAUGCAUUGAAUUUUCCUCUAUCUCGUACUCAUUAUUUAAAUGUCUAAUUUUAUAAAUAGAGGCUUUGAAAUAUCAGAUAGAAAAAAAAAAAAAAGGUUAAUGAAUUCAUGGUUUCUAGAUGUAUAGAUGCACUAAUUAUAGAAAAUAUAUAAUUCAUUCUCUCGUAGAAACUAUAGAUAAUUAAGGACUAAAGUAAAAUUUUUUAAAAGUUUAGGCAACUUCUAAGUUUGAGAAUCAAAAUAAAAUUGAAUAAAAGUUAGGAAACUAGCGGUGUAAUAUUAUACCAUAUAAAAUUGAAAUUAAUACUUUUUAUUAAAGUAAUCAUAUCGUUUCAUAUAUAAAAAAAAAAUGAAAGGUUAAUUAAUUAAAAAUAAUAUGAUAAUUUUAUGUUGAACUGAUAUUGAAAAAUAUUUUACUUUUAUACAAUUAAACAACCUAGAAAACUUUGAUAAGUCACUACAACAAAAACGGUCUAUAGUGACACUUUUAAAUGUAGGUAUAUGUCAAAAAAGUGCUGCUAGCUAAAAUUACCGACACUUUUAAAAAGUGUUGCUAUAUGUGGGGUCGCUAGGUAUAUAGUGACAGUUAAAGAGUGUCGCUAUAACAUAAAAGAGUGCUGCUAAUUUACAAACACUUAUUUAAGCAUUUAGCAACCGCCGAAACUCUAUCUCGUUGGCUGCGGUGGCGGAGGAGGACGACAAGAAAGGCUCUUCGUCUAGAAAUUCAGUGAAUUGAGUGAAGAGAGAAGAAAAGAUGGUAAUUGAUUUUUCUUUUUUUUUUUUCUUUUCUGUUUGUAAUCGGGCCAAAUAGACUGAGUGUGGUGGGUUGAGUAGAGUAAUCUUAUAUUUUUGGUUGGAUUGGGCUUUAUAUUUAGGCAUUAGUAGAUAUUUUUUUAAAUUUUAGGAUAAAUGGGAUACUUACUCAAAAGUGUCCCAAACAUGUGUCCCUAUAACCUAAUUCUGUUGUAGUAAGUUAUUUUUAUUUAUCAAUAAAAUAACCGUGAAAAAAAAAAAUUUUCUCCAUCUCACUGUAGGUACUGUUCUCAUUAAUUUUUAGCUAAAUGACAAAAAUCCCCCCAUACUUUAGAUCGUCGUGUCUCAAUUAAGCCCUGCAUUAAAAAUUGCGUCAAUUUAAUUUCAUUUUACACAUCACACUAUCAAAUAGAAUAAUUAUUGAAUUUAGUUGUCAAAUUGAAUAAUUAUCUUAAAUUUUAAACUUAUUCAAAUUAGAGGCAAAAUAUCGAGUAAAACUUGAUGGAAUUUUUAAUAUAAAAGGGCAAUUGAUACAUGAAAUAAAAUGCAAGAGAGAUUUUUGCAAUUUGGCCUCAAAUUUUUGUUCACAACACGUGGCAAUUAUGCAUGUUAGCAAUCUGUGGAUAUGAAUAAAUAUCCAAAAUAAAUAUUUUAAUUUUUGGAAGAACCUAUUACUUUAGGAUACAGAGAAAUAAAAAAAGAAAUUUGUUUUCGGUUUGAUAUUUUCUUAUUUCUUAGGAUAAGCAAAAUCUUAUUUAGUAAUUUUAUUCAAAAUAAUAAAGAACAGUAAUUAAAAGAGAAAAGGUUGAUUAUUUUUUUUUUUAAAUCCCAAGAUUGUGCUUAUUUAUAUCUUUCAAAUAUAGAAUAUUUAAUAUAUAUGUACAAUAAUGCAUAAAAAAUAAUAUAUUUUAUAAAAUAUAAAAUAAUUAUAUAUAAUACUACUAUAAUAAUCAUAUAUAUUAUUAUAUAAAAUACUUCAAAUAUAUAACAUACUUCAAUAAUAAAAUGAUAACAUUUAAACAAUCCCAAAUUUUAAGAAUUUGAUGAACCUUCACCUAUAUAUAUAUGUGAAUGAAUUACUUACCAAAGCAUACUUAUUGGGAUAUUGUAAUAAACUAUAUAUGCCCAAAUUCUAUAUUUUCAAAAUUCCUAAAUAUGUAAUGUUUCAUUUUUUCCAAGAGCAAUGCUCCUAUGCACCGAACAAAUCUCAGCCAUUAAAAUUCUUUAAAUGGACGGUAACGAUAGACCUAUUAAAAGAGGGUGACCGGCACUUGGGGGCAUAGGUAUCGAUCACCACUUUAAUAAGGGCAAAAAUUUUUUUUAUUACAUGGAGUUUGCAAUGAGAGUAUUUUAGUAAAUUUCCAUCCUCAUAACAUGCCAUUUUGUAAAUUUAGAAUAUUCCACCUUCCUUCUUUUUAUCCUUCAAUAUUUUAUCUUUGUAUUAUUAUCUUUCCUAAAUUAAACCUCAUGUCUUUAAACCAUAGUUAGUUAAUUCGAAUACGAUAAAAAUUCGAUACGGAUAAAAUACGAAUAAAAUUCGUAUCUUAAUUUUUAAGUUCGUUGAAAUAUACGGUUUAAAAAGUAGAUUUGCCAAUAAUUCGUAUACGUGAUUUAUACGAAAAUUUUACGUUUAUCAUUUAAAAAUUCGAAAUAAAAAUUCGUUUCUUUAAUUAAAUUUCUUUUAGAUUUAUGCUAUAAUCAUGCAUAAAUAAUUAUAAUUCUUAUAAAAUAUAAAAAUAAAAUUGGAUAUAUAUAUAUAUACACGCACACACAACACACACACGAAAAGGGUGAGUGGAGCGAGAGGUCCACCAUGGACCUCUCACUCCACACAGUCCACGAGGCUGAGUGCAGCCUCGUGGACCGCGAUAUUUUUCUACACGUAGGCCGCGAUUUCUUCUUCCUCGCCGCUUCUCUUUUCUUUUUUUGCUUUAGAAUCAUUUAGUUUAAAUAGUUAACAAAUUUUAUUUUUUUAACUAUAAUAUAAACUAAAUCUAAAUUUAAAUUUAAAUUUUAAUCAAUAUUUGUAAACUUUAAUGUUGUUUUUACUAUCGAAUGAACAAUUUGAAUUUAAUUUUAAAAAUAAAAGCCUUUAAUUUAAAUAAAAAAUAAAAGUUAUGUUUAUAAAUACUACAUAAUUUAUAAUUUAAAUUAAAUUAAUAUAUUUGAAAUAUCGUGUCAUUUUAAUAUAUCAAAUUAACAAUUUGAAUUGAAAUAUACUAUUCAUUUAAACAUAAUUUUUUUCAUUCUGAAAAUAAAAAUAAAAAUUAAAUUUGAAUUUAAUGUACACAAUUAUAAAGUUUAAGCUCAAAUUGAAUUUAAAAUUCAAUUUAUAAAGGUUUACUACUUAUCAAAUUAGCACUAUCUAAUUUGGUAAGUAACAAAAUUAAACAAGGAAACAAAUAUUUGUAUAAGAUUAAUCAAAUUCGGUAAUUAGUUUUUUUUUUUUUCCAUAUUAUCCUUACGAAUGGUAACCUGUUGAACAGGUAACCACUAUGCAAAAGUCAAUCUUGCCCUUAAAAUAUAAACGGUUAGAUUUAUUUUACCUGGUGUAUUGAAGCAUUCCUCUUUUUCCAAUUCUAACACUACCAUACUAGUCAUUUUAUUCUAAUUUUAUUCUAAUUAUUUAAUAUUUAAUAAGAGCAUGGAAAAAGUAUCUAAUUAGUGCACAGAAACGUACGCACUUAUUUCCUCGUUUUCUUGACUUAAUUAUUUACCCUGUCUAAAUCACUUGUCAAUUUUGCUUAAUUACGUGCAUGACUAAAGCUUCCCAAAAUACUAUUAUAUANUGAGUUUAAAAAGAUCGAAUCAAUAAUAACAUGAUAAGUGUAAGUUGAAAAAACGCCGAAACAUACAACUGCUUUUUACCCUAAACCCUAAACCCUAAACCCUAAAGCUAUGUAAUAAUAAAAGGGAAAAUUUCAAAAAUCCCUCACGUGGAUUUGUACUUUUUUAUUUUAGUACAUGCGAUUUAAAGUGUAUCAAGUUAGUACCAUGUGGUUUCCUAUUUUCUCACUUUAGUAUCCUGUGGUCUAAAAUGUAUCAAAUUUGUAAUCUGUGAUUUUAUUUUUAUAUCAAGUUAGUACCAUGUGGUUUUAUUUUUGUAUCAAAUUAGUAUCAUGUGGUUUAUUUUUCCCUUAAUAAAAUAUUAAAUCACAGAGUACUAAAGUGAGAAAGUACGAAACCACAGGAUACCACUUGAUACACUUUAAACCACAGGGUACUAAAGUGAGAAAGUGCGAAACCACAUGGUACUAAAGUGAGAAAGAGUGAAAUCACAAUAGAGAAAAAAUAUUUGAAGUUUUUUCAUAAUAAAAUAAUAGUAAGAAAGGAUAUUCAAUCUCAAAUCCGUUAUAUAUAAAACAAUCUUUUUAACUCAAAAACUUAUAACCUUCUUUUUAAAAAUUAAUAUUUUAGUAUCUAAUAUUUUAUAUUCAAAUGGAUUUUGGGAAAUGGAAUGUGUACCUGAACUAAUUAAUUAAAAAGUCGCCGCCAGGGUGUUUAGCUGCGUUCAGUUGUACAUUCAACCGUGUAAUUCCCGGCAUCUACGUGCAUGAGAUUUUUCUCUGCACAAAAAUCGAAUAAGUAAAUAAGCAAAAAAAAAAAAAAGAAAAAAAAAGAAAAAAAAAACCUUUGUAUAAAAGAUCAUUAAACGAUUUAAAAGAAAUAAAAGCCCAAAAUGUAAUCUCCAUAUAAAAAAAUGUUUUCAAUGUCAUCUAACUCCUCUGGUAGAGUUCAACAGAUGUGGUGUAUAAAAUAUACUAAAUUAAUACAACAGUCCAAGCGCAAUAAUCUCUCUUUUUCAAUAUUUAUCAUCAUUUGUAGCUAGUAAUAUGUCAAAUCCCAAAUAUCAUUUCAAUGGUGGAUGAUCAAGCCAUGUGUGCAUGAUUGGUGUGUAGUAAGUAGGAAAUCAUAUCAUAAUAAAUGAUAGCUAAUAGACUCAUUAAUGCAUGCAUGAUUGAUGUGUCGUAACAGGAAACCUGCUGGAAUAAUAAUUCAAAUUUAAUUAAACUAUAAUUAGAGAUAAUGUUAUUUUUUUUUUUAUUAUGAUAAGGAUAUGUAAUUAUCCAAAGUAAAAUUGAAUUUAUCAUCUGUUAUGAUUUGAUGGUUACAUAUAAUUAGGCAUGGAUUAAUUAGAGGAAUAAGUCUAUUAUUAAUUAGAGGAAUAAGUCAUAAUAGAUAUGAUUGAAUGGGUGUUGCCCACAAUAUAAUUAAUUGUUUUUUAUUAGUAAGGGAUAAUUGCCUAUAUACUCCUCAUAUGUUUGAAAAUAUUCGAUUUAUUCCUUUUUUUAUCUCUAAAAUAUCCCUCAUAUAUUCCACCCUUAUUGCAAAAUACCUCCGCAGUUAUCUCCUGUUAGGUUAACUUGGAUUAAACGUGAGUUAAAUAUCUACCACAGUUAAAAAAAUUAAAAUAUCAAUUUUGCCCUUAACUUAAGGGCAAAUAAGAAAUGUUGGUGACGGUAUAGGGGUAUAUUGGAAAAGACCAAAAAAUAAAAUACUUUUUGUGCACUUGACUUUAAGGGCAAAUAAGAAAGUUAGUGAUGGUGGAAGGGUAUAUUUGAAAAGGCAAAAUAGUAAUUUUACAAAGAUACCAGAGUUAAUUAACAGAUUUUAACUCUAGGGGUAUAUUAGAAAUAGGUUGGAACGUAGAAAGUGUAUUUUCAAUAUUAGCCUUCUAAGAGUGGUAAAUCGGAAACUCGAAAACUUUUUAGAGGUAUAUAAGCAAUUGCUCCUAUUAAUAAAGUAUUAGUUUUAAUUAUCUUCCUCCUUCAAUAUUUCUUCUCCAUAUUAUUUUAUUCUAUUUUUUCUUCUCCAUAUUAUUUUGUUCUAUUUUAAAUUUCGGGUUAUAUAGUCAGUAUCAGCAAAAAUACUAGUUCCAACAAGUGGUAUAAGAACAAAUCACGCUUCCAACAAAACCAUAUCAUUAUAGUGUCACAAGCAUCAUUUUACAACCUAGUGGAAUUAUAAGAGAAUGAUGGUGAUAUUAAUAAUUAAUAAUUAGGUAAAAAAGUGCGGUACUAAUCUAAACUAUAAAUUAUUUUAAAUCAACUAUUUUAAUUAUUAAAAAAAUUAAAUUUACUGUUAUAUCUUUCAAUUUUUUGAUUCGAGUCAAUUAUCAGUAAAUUGACUUUAAAUUUUCAGCUAGUUACCAAAAUUGGAUGAAAUAUUUAUUAAUUAAGUCUGUAAAGUUAAAUGGCACAUUAACAUUUAAACUCAAAAUAUCGUUGACUGACUCAAAUCGAACAAAUUGAAAUUUUGAAAGAUAGAAUAGCGAAUUCAAAAUGGUCCACAGUUCAGAUAAGAAUGUAACGAGACCCCCUCACAUAUUGGAACUUUUGAAAUAGCGAAUUCAACUUUUAAUUUUUUUAGAAUUAAGUAAUUUCAGUUAAAAAAAAGUUAAGAUUCUGCCAAAUUUAUUAGUGGUCUCACCAAAUUCAAUAACUUAAUAGUUUUUUG